GGGCCAACCAACCACAGACUGAAAACUCUAAAACUGUGAGUCAUUAUAAACCUUUUCUCUUUUUAAGUCAAUCAUUUCAUGUAUUUUGUUACAGUAAUGGAAAGGUGACUAAUACAGUAUGUGUGUGUGUGGUAUAAUAUAAUCAUCUAACUUCCCUUUUUAUUUUCAGAAGCAAUUGCAAAAUUUAAAUAGCCUGAUUAACUGCCUAUUUUAAAAAAAUAUUUAAACCAGCAGAUGACUAUUUCUGCAAUGUUUAAUAAUUCUUGGGGUAUUGUUAAUCUUAAAUGUUUUGGUAGUCAAGUUAGAAAAAGGUUGAUUACAAACUCUUCCAUCAGUACAUGGGUCUAUGCAGGAGGCUCUGGUUGUGUCCUAUACAUUUAAAAUGAGUGAACUGACCUAAGGAUGAAGAGCAAUAAAUUUAUCAUAAUUUAAUUUAGAUUAAUGAUAGUUUCAGUAUAAAAACUUCACCUUGAAUUAGGUGAAACAUUGAAUCCACUGAUUAUGUUAACAUAAUUGACUGUUAAGCAUGAAAACCAGCAUUUCUAAGUAUAAAAUCUUGGGCUAGAGAGGAUGUAGGGUCAGAGCAGGUAUUUUUUUCAGAUAAGAUUAUAAAUGUACAUGUUAUAUGUGAAUUUAUUUAAAAUCUGAAAUCUUACAGAGCUGCUCUUUUAUGUCAUCAUAUUAUUUCCACAUUGGUACAGCUUGAUUCCCUUAUACCCAUCCCAACUUUUAAAAUCUAUUCAAAUGUCCCACUUCUAUCCCACAUAGGCACUAAUUACAUAUUUAUUUUGUAGUGACAAUUAGAAACAUUUUCUUUAGCAUAAAAAGAACAUCUUAAAUUUCACUUAGAAAUUCAAAGUACAUGAUUCCUGUAGCUAUAAAUAAUCGACAUACAUAUAUCAGAUACAUACAUGUAUCUGAUAAUGGUAAAUAAUUUCCCCCCUAGUUGCUCUUAAAUCCUUAGGGGUCUGUAGGCUGCUGUAUAAAUUGUCUGAGGAGGGUAAGGUGAAUUUCUAAAAACGUAAAGACAUAGAAAAUUGUAGCCACUGGUUUCUGUGUGAUAGAGACAGAAACUGGUCCUUGGUUGUCCUUGUGGCAUUUUAAACAAGCAAAAAAAAAAAAAGCUAACCUGUCUAUAAAGAAACUGUGUUUUAUAAGUUUUAUGAUUAAAUCCACCACUGCUUUGCUGACUAAUAAAAUGGAAAAUGUGUGCUUUUAUAGGUUUAUAAAAAGGCAAACUAUAGUUUCAUGAAAAAUAUCUUGGACCGAUUGAAUACAGGUGGCUACUUGUUUAGACUUUGAAGAUGUAAAAGCUUAGUAUAGAUGUCUGAAAAAGGUAAUAUGGCACAAUAAAAAAAUCUUCCUUUCUUGGCUCAUCAAUCCUUUGGGUAUUCCAUGUCAAAUAAACGCUACAACAAUUUAUAGUAAAAGUACACAGUGGAAGUGCCAACGUUAACACUCCUUAGGACUGGAUACCUGCCAGAUUUUUCACACCAAUAUUUAAUGUGAACCGAAACGUCUUUUCCAUUGGAAGUGUGAGAAGGAGCUUGCUUUCCUAUAUUUGGCAACGCGCUUAUGUGAAGUAUAAAGUCAAAUGCCCGUGAUGUUCUCUUUAUUUCAACUAUGAUAAAUUGUGUUCAUUUGUUUAAGUGCAUGUGGCAGCUUUAGUGUUCCAACUAUAAAUUUUGGUUAACUUCUAUUGACAUGCUGUAUUAAACUUAAGAAAAACAAAUUACACUUCACCGGUUUUAAUUGACUAAAUGUGUCAAAAACACAGUAAGUAUAACAUGAGAGGUCAGAGCCUUCGUCUACACUGUAAUGGGUGUCAUGGCAGGGAUCCAACUUUUCUUGUACAUUUCAUUUUUCAUGAAGUUUCAGGACAAGGCAUACGUUUAACAUUCACUUCCACUUCUCAUUUGUACUUCAAAGUUUAUCAUAGGCUGUGUUACUACCAAGAACACUUUUCUCUUGGGCUAUUUAAAGUUCCCUUCGCACUGACGUGUGUGCCCAGAGAAUACUGAUGUUCUCCUGUAAACAAGGCCCUGGGAAUGGAUUUUGGCAUCGUGAGGAAUGAAAUGCUGAUGUAUAAGCACACCCGUAGAUCACUGGAGCACUCCUUGGAAAAGACCUGGUUUACGUAUCUAGUCUCUUCUUCCACAACUGGACAAGCAGCCACGUGCUGAGGAGCUGGAUUAAACUUGGCACAAACACUUCCUUUGGGAUCUUAUUAAAGUUACCAGUUUUAAUUCUUGGGCUCUAUGUCCAGUGGGUUGCACACAUUCAUAUUCCUUCAGCUAUUUAUUACCUUCAUAUUUGAGGAUUACAUAUUGUUCAUUAAGCUCUUACUCUUCUUCGGCCUCUCACUUCUCUCUUCUUCCAGCGUUAUCUCCUGGUGUGGUUAUAUUUGGAUCUAUCUUCUCAAAAAUUAGCUCCAUUUUCAAGAGCUGAAACAUUAGUUUCCCGUGUGAAUCUAUGUCUGGAAAAACUCGAAAUAGAGCAGGUGUUUGCAAAAGUGUUAUGUUUUAUAUUGGAGAAAACAGGAAUCAUAAAUUUUAAAAGUUUAUUCUAUUUUCCUCACCAAUAAGAAUCUGAUUCCUUAGCACAUACUUUGCCAGCAAGAAACUAGAGUUGAGGGUCUGUCAAUAUUUUUUCUGCUCUGAUGGACUGAAGGGAGGGAAGAUUAAAAGUCAUCCUUACCCAAUAAGCCUAGAGAUUCUUCUUCUUUUUUUAAAAAUAUUUAGUUGUAGGUGGAUACAAUACCUUUAUUUUAUUUAUUUAUGUGGUGCUGAGGCUUGAACCCAGUGCCCCACGCAUGUGAGGCAAGUGCUCUACCACUGAGCCACAAUCCCAGUCCCAAGCCCAGAGAUUCUUGAUGGCACCAAAUGGGAGGGGGUUGAUUUUCCUUGAAGGAAGAGUGAGACCAUCCCACCUUUCCCACACCCUAGGGAAGCUUUCACAUCAUGAAGAUAAUGAAGCUGCCUCUAAAUUAUGGGUCUAUAAAGGGCCAGAUUAAAAAAAAAAAAACUUUCAGGUCUUGAGGUCCAGAUGGUCUCUGUCAUGGUUACUCAACUCUGUCAUCGACAACACGAGUCAUCCGCAUUGUGUAAACGAAUGAAUGUGGCUGUGUUCCCAUAAAUUUAUGGACAAUGAAAUUUGAAUGUCAUAUAAAUUUCAUGUGUCAUGAAAUAGUCUUCUUUUGAUUUUUUUUCCCCCAACUAUUUAAAAAUGUAAACACCAUUCUUGGCUUGGGGCGGUAUGAAAGCAGUUGGCAGGAUGGAUUAGAUCUGAGGGCUGUAGGUUGCUAAGCUCUGCUCUAAAACUAAUAUAUUAUUUCUAAAAGGUCCAAAAAUUUAAAGUAGUUUUAUUUUGAAAACAAUGUUAUCCUUUUUUUUCUCUCAUGCAGCACACAUUUAAUUGCGGUUUCUUUUCCUUCUGUCAUGUUUUGGUCAGAUCAUAACUCUGUCUGCAUUUGGUAUCCAAUCUUAUGAGAAUCAGGUGCAGUAAACACCGUUUCUGUCCUGCCCAUAUCUGCGUGCACUCUCCUGCUUCCUGCAUCAGACAUGAGAGACUCUGCAGAGGAUUUUUUUUCGUCCACUGGAGUGCUUUUAACCUGUGGGUAGUGCAUGCUGGAGGUACUGUGGCGUUAGGUCUUUUAGAAGCGGCCCUUGGUCAAUGACAGAUAGGACUGGAGGGUAACUAUCUCUGGGUUGGGAUAUCUCUGAGGCAUAUUCUACACUGUGAAUACGUAGUGAGACUGGGACUCCAGUUACCCACAGCUAUAACCUACCCCCCAACGUACGCUUUAAUGGCCUUUACUCUUCCAUUUCCCUUCCUUGCUUUGCUGUGGGUGCUUCCUUCCUACGCUAACACUUGAUUGCUAGAUCUCGAAAAAUCUCAGUCUUUAAUGCAAAAUGAGCCUGUUGUAAAUAACGAAGCCUGCUGUAUAAGUUGUAAGCUUUAGAUCCUGGAUUUCUCUUCUUAUAUUAGGCAGCAUUUGCCACCUCUCCUUCGAGUACAGGAGGAUUUUUUUUUCUUCCUAUUUUUUUUUUCCAGAUAAAAGUAAGGUUUCACAGCUCUUGGCACUCUGCAUGAUUGUGACCAAGGAGCAUUCCAGAAAGAGGUGCUAUAUCUCCAUCUAGGUCAUAAUACUAUUGCUGGGCCCUACACAGCAUGACACCCAACACAAGAAAAUAAUUCCACAGGGACAUUCUGCUCUAUUUCCUCUCUAUGUCCAUCCUAUGAACCUGUCAAAGGAUAUCUUUUUGUUUUCUGCUUUUAUUGGUGCAUUGUAGUUGUCCAUAAUACUUGGGUUCAUUUUGACGUAAUAAAGUAUGCAUGGAAUUUAAUUUGUUCCAUUUCAGUCCCCAGUGCCACUUUUUUCUCCCCCUCCUCCUUCUCCCUAUUCUCCUUCUUCUAUUCUACUGGUCUAAUGUCCAUUCAUUUAUACAUUUUAAUUGGUAUUUUGUACAGAUACACAUAAAGGUGAAAUUUACUGUGAUAUAUUUAUACACAUUUAUGCAUAUCUUCAAGACAACUCACUUUUUCUUUUCCACUGUGAAGUAUAGAAUUUGAAUGCAUUAAAAUAUUAUGUCUUCUUCUCCUCCUCCUCCUCUUCCUCUUUCUCCUCCUCCUCUUCCUCCUUCUUCUCCUCCUCUUCCUCCUCCUCCUCCUCUCCCCCCCCCCCCCCACCUGCAUUUUGGUAUCAGGGAUUGAACCCAGAGCAUUUAACCAAUGAGCCACAUCCCCAGACAUUUUUAUAUUUUAUUUAGAGACAGGGUCUUACUGAGUUCAGGACCUCACUAAGUUGCUGAAGCUGGCUCCUGCCUCAGCCUCCCCAGCCAAUGGGAUUAUAGAUGUGUAUCACCGUGCCUGCCUAAUGUGAUCUCUGACAACCAAAUCUUUGAUUAAUUUCACUGUGCAUCUAGUGUACUGUAGAUUUUCUUAUGGUCCCUUUUACUCUGGUCUGUCUGUUUACUUUUUUCCCCCCAAGCCACUUGUGUUUUAUGGUCCAGAAUAAAGUUAUUCCAGAAAACAAAGACACCCAUUUUUGCAGGGAACAGUCUUAGAAAUCAGUUAAGUUUUUCCUUGGUUACACUCUAUCCCUACAUCCUCCUCUCAUUAGCUGGAAGUUUAGGCAUACUUUUCUCAUAUUUUCCCAUGGGCUCCUGUUUUUGAAAAGUCUAACCCCUUCACUGCUUGUAAUGUAACUGGAAAUGGAAUAGGAGUGACUGGAAGCCUUUUUAGGGUAAAAUUUUAUAUAAGAUGGAUAAAAGCAAAGGAGAAACACUAUAAUCCUUUUUAUAGCCACAAAAGGGGUGGCCACAAUGGUGGAACAAGACACCUGAGACUGGCGGAUGCUGAGUAGAUCAGAAAGAAGGCUAUACAUACAGGAUGCCAGAUUGACAAAAAAGUAAAUUUGUGUAUCAUCCAAAAGUUUGUAUUUUUCUUAGAAGAGCUUCUAUGACUUCAAAUGGAAUUGCCAGAUUUUAAGGAAUGCAGAUAUGAGUAUAUCAUUAUCACCACAUUAACUCCCAAUCUCCAUGAAAUGUUUAAUCAACAUUUACUUGGAUGGAGCAUGUUGUAUGUAGGUAGUUUGGCUUGGACAGUGAUGUGAAAGGCCAAGGUAAGAACAAGGAAGACCUGAGGUGGUCCAGAAAUGGCACUUUUAUAGGCUAUACUUACCUACUUCAAAAUGAAAUAGAUGCAGUCACAUAGUUUUAUAACUUGACUUUGAACUUACAUGGAAUUAAUGAGGCCAGUUUUGUCCAGCAGUUGAUCUAGAUAAUUCAGGAAGGAAAAGCCCAGUUAAAAACAGUCCAACAUUGAUGAAAGGUAUUAGAUGAAAUCCUCUCAUUUAACGUUAUCAUAGAUAUGAAUUUGGAUAGAUUAAUGGAUUUUCCUAGUUCAUUGUGUAUGUAAACCCUGUGUAGGAGGCUAAAGGCACCCCAACAAGUAGGUUGCAGUCUCUGGCUUAAGCAACCUAUCGUCUCCUGACUUCACGAAGAGCAUCAAAAUCUGUACAGGAAAGUCCAUCACUUUAUGUUGAUGGAUUCUGGCCUUCUACUGUAAUGUGGAAAGCCUAUGGGUGAUCUUGACUUUGCCCAGGUCACAGAUUUAUAUUGACUUAUCCAUUCAUUCCCUUAUUCACUCAUCACUCACUCAUUCACUCAAUAUUUUUUUGGUCACAUACCUUGUGCUAGAUACUGUGUUCACUGUUUCAGAUGCCCUCAUGGAGCUUACUAUCUUAUCUUAAAGAUGAAACAACACAGAUUUAAGCAUACAUUUAAAAAUCCUAGCAAUCCAGGAUUUGUUAAGAUUGAACGAUAGCAUUAUUGAGUUUUAAAACAAACUGUAUUUGGAAGUGAAAUCAUGGCAGGUUACAGUCUUUGCUGACAGCGUAUCACAACCGUUAUAUGAAGACAGGACAUCUUCCAUAUAUCAAAAUUCACCCCAGUGAAUUUCCAGAUUUUCUUCUGGUCCUUUGAAUAAUUCCUCAGAUAAAGCCUUUUACAUUAUGGAUGGAUGUCCACCACCACACGAUCACUGCCUAUCUCACUUCAUCAUUUCUUGGGAUUCUCAGCUGCACUUCAUCAUAUAUCAUCGCCUUCGAACCUGCUCUGGUCACUCCAUCUCACACUUCAUCACUUCUUGUAUUCUUUGUGAGCUUUCAGUUCUGUUACAGAGUCUGUCACUGCUCUCCACUCAUUCAUUAUUUCCAAUUCAAAUACAAAUUCAUCAAACUACUGAUAUCUAGAAUAGUUCUUAGUUCAUCAAAAUAGGGACUGCCCGGUUGUUUAUUAUCAAAAAGGAGCAAUUUAUAUGGUAAGAUAUGGUCCAGAAAGUAUUAUACAGUGUUACAGAGUUGCUAGACAUUAUUCCACUCUAUAUUGAUUCUACAAACCUGAGCAGGCAACUUAUGACUAGGCCCCUGUCUUAACUGUAUGGAUUUUUCAAGAGAUAGGUAGUGUGACAUUGACAUUUGUAAGUAAGUGACUGGGAGUGCAUCUAAAUGCAAAAAUACUAAAUAAAAUGUUAGCAAAUAAUUAAACUAAAAAGGAGUCAAGAUAUCUCCUGAAUGCCCUGUUGAGAUGUCAGCAUCAUGAGUUGGUUCACAUAGCUCUUGGUGGUGUUAGCUUCAGUGGGCUGUUAGUUUGAACACAUUUCAAAUUGGUGAAUGGCAUUUUUUCCCCUCACCUUCUUUACCCUACAUAGCUAAGUCCUUUCUUUUAUUCUGAUUGACCAAUCCAGACUGCAUGUUUGUGACAACUAGGAUGAUCUGAAAGAAAUUUUAUAUCUAGAAUUAAAAGCACUAUUGUUAUAUGGAUUACUGUUAUCUUAAGUAGAAUUUUCUGAGUGAAUUAUUUCUUCAAGUUUUUGAAUGCAAAUUUGCCACAAUGUAGGCUUCUGCAUAUGGAAGUGGUCAUAGAAAAUGUAAUAUUUUUAUUCAUGGCCAUUUAGAUUCUCAUCUACUACUCUAUGUGAUUUUCCAUCCUUUGAUGAUAUGAUCUCAAAUUGCCCAAGUAGCUUUGCCAUUACUCCUUGCCUACUCGUAUCAAAGGUUGUACAUUUUAAAGUUCAACAGCCACAAAAAUGUUACUGUGAUGCUUUCUGUCUGCCAUUGAGUUUCAGUGUGGUUUUACAGGGCAUGUAGGAGACAGCAAUUUCAAGAUACAAAGUGAAAGAAUCUCCUGGUUAUCUCAUUUUAACAAUCCUGUAAAGAUGUAUUCAUAGACAUGUGGUACCAUUGGUUGCUAUGACUAACAUUAUUUAAUUAGUGUUGACUCAAAUUUAUACUAUUAAAGAGGGGGAAAUGCUUAUCCAAGAUACUUUUAUUGUUAUUUGGGAUAGUAUUUAUUAUUUAGAAUAUUAUUUCAGCUUAAAAAAAUCAAGCUCCAGCAAAUUUAGGAUUGCAAGCCUUCACUAAGCCCUCCAGAGAUCUUUCAUUAUCGUCAAGGUACUAAAUCAUGACAGAUAGGUGUAUGUGGUCAAUCUUUAUUGCUCUUCAGUCUGUGGAAUUUAAGACUUUGUUUAUUCAGACAAUGAAGAGAAAGCCUGUCCUUUACAGAACUCCAUAAAAAUUUACAGAGAAAAAAAAUUAAAAAAAAACAAGACAAUACAUUUCAUUUACUUUAAUAAAUGCCUAAAAUUGUAACUGGUUUGCACUAUGAUGUCCUUUGGCAUUUCAUAUGAUGGUUUGUAACUUAAGGCAUUAAAGCCAAAACACAAAUGGAUUGAUGAGUUUUGACUGAUUUCAGAAACUGAUCUUUGUAAUUUAAUUUUUGAAAUCCAAGAAAAUUAAUGUUAAAGUUUAUAGGAUAAGACGAUAUGAUGCUAUAUUAUCAACUCUCUAUAUAAGUAUUCUUAGACUUAUCUUCUCAGACUCAGAACUGUAUGGAUUUUUUCAAGAGAUAGGUAGUGUGACAUUGACUUUUAUAAGUAAGUGACUGGGAGUGCAUCUAAAUGCAAAAAUACUAAAUAAAAUAUUAGCAAAUCAUGUUCAACAACAUUAGGAAGAUUUUACACUAUGACCAAGUUGAUUUUAUUUCAGAGACAUAAGAAUAGUUUAACAUAUGCAACUCAAAAAAUGCCAAUUCAUCAUAUAAAUAGACUUAAGGACAAAAAUUAUUUAGUCAGCUCAAUAGAUUCAGAGAGGGCCAUUGAAAAAAUUCAGCACUCAUUCACUGUAAAAACACUGAAGAAACUAGUGGAAGGAACCUACCUCAAUAUCAUACAGGCCAUAUAUGAAAAAUCCAAAGCCAACCUUAGUAAAUGGGAAAAAACUAAAAGGAUUUAAAAAAAUCUGGGCCAAGGAUAUGCAUUCUCACCUUAUUAUUUCAUAUGCUGCUAGAAAUGAGAGCCAGAUAAAUUAGGCAAAAGAAGGAAAUAAAAGGGAUAGAAUAAGAAAGGAAGAAAUGGAAGAAAUCAAAUCAUCACUGUUUGCAGAUAAUAUGAUCCUUUACCUAGAAGGUCCAAAAACUUCACAAAAAGACUGCUAGAGCUAACAAACAAAUUUUGCAAAGUAGCAGUUUACAAAAUCAACAAAGAUUAAUAUCUUUCCUAUAUAUCAACAAUGAAUCUGCUGAGAAAGAAAUCAGAAAAAUUUCAUUCACAAUAGCCUCAAAAAACAAAUACACAACAGGCUAGUAGACAAUGGUACAGAAUAGAGGACACAGAGCUAACCCACAAAAUUACAACUACCUUAUAUUAGACAAAGGUGCUAAAAGCAUGCACUGGAGGAAGGAUAGCAUCUUCAACAAAUGGUGCCGGGAAAACUGGAGAUCCAUAUGCAACAAAAUGAAAUUGAAUCCCUAUCUUUCACCAUGCACAAAAGUUAACUCAAAAUGGAUCAAGAAUCUAGGGAGUAAACCAGAGACUUUGCAUCUAAUAGAAGAAAAAGUAGGCCCUAAUCUCCAUCAUGUGGGGCUAGGCCGAAACUUCCUUAAUAAGAUGCCUAUAGCACAAGAAUUAAAACCAAGAAUCAACACAUGGGAUGGAUUCAAACUAAAUAGUUUUUUUCUCAGCAAAAGAAAUAAUAUGUGAGGUGAAUAGGGAGCCUACAUCCUGGGAACAAAUUUUUACCCCUCACACAUCAGAUAGAGCUCUAAUCUCUAGGGUAUAUAAAGAGCUGAACAAGUUAAGCACUCAAACAACAAAUAAUUCAAUCAAUAAAUGGGCCAACAACCUGAACAGACACUUCUCAGAAGAGGAUAUACAAUCAAUCAACAAAUACAUGAAAAAAUGCUCACCAUCUCUAGCAGUCAGAGAAAUGCAAAUUAAAAGUACUCUCAGAUACCAUCUCACUCCAGUAAGAGUGGCAGCCAUUAUGAAGAAAAACAAGUGCUGGAGAGGAUGCAGGGGAAAAAGGUACACUCAUACACUGCUGGUGGGACUGCAAAAUGGUGCAGCCAAUUUAGAAAGCAGUAUGGAGAUUCCUUAGAAAACUGGGAAUGGAACCACCACUUGACCCAGCUAUUCCUCUUCUCAGACUACACCCAAAGGACUUAAAAACAGCAUAUUACAUGGACACAGCCACAUUAAUGUUUAUAGCCGCACAAUUCACAAUAGCUAAACUGUGGAGCCAACCUAGAUGUCCUUCAGUGGCGAAUGGAUAAAAAAAAUGUGGCAUUUAUACACAAUGGAAUAUUACUCAGCAAUAAAAAGAAUAAGGUCAUGGCAUUUGCAGGGAAAUGGAUGGCAUUAGAGAAGAUUAUGCUAAGUGAAGUUAGCCAAUCCCAAAAAAACAAAUGCUGAAUGUCUUUUCUGAUAUAAGGGGGGUGACUCAAAAUGGGGUUGGGAGGGAGAACAAGGGAGGAAGAUUACCUCUAGAUAGGGAAUAGGAGAAGGGGAAUAGCAUGGGUGGUGAAAGGAGACUCUCAUCAUUAUACAAAAUACAUGUAUGAAGAUGUGAAAUAGUGUCAACAUACCUUAUAUAUAAUCAGAGAUAUGAUAAAUUAUUGUAUAAUGGUAUAUUAAGAAUUGUAAUGCAAAAUAAAUAAAUAAAAUCAUUAAAAAAACAAAUACACAAAAUACCUAGGAAUAAAUCUAACCAAGGAGGUGAAAGACCUCUAUAAUGAAAACUGUACAACAUUGAAGAAAGAAACUGAAGACCUUAGAAGAUGCAAAGACUGACCAUGUUCAUGGAUAGGCAGAAUUAAUAUUGUUAAAGUGGCCAUAUUACCAAAAGCAAUAUACAAUGUAAUUCCUACCAAAAUACCAAUUACAUUCUUCACAGAAUCAGAAAAAAAUAGUCAAAAUGUAUUUGAAAGAGUGAAAGACCCAUAAUAGCAAGUAAUUCUAAGCCCAAAAGAAAGCAAUCCUGGAAGUGUCAACAUCCCUGACUUCAAAUUAUGCUACAGAGCUAUAAUAACAAAAACUGUAUGGUAUUAGCAUAAACACAGACCCAUAGACCAAUGGUAGAGAAUAGAAGACACAGAGACAAACUGACCCAGAUACAGUCAUCUGAUCCUUGACAAAGGAACCAAAAACAUACAUUGGAGAAAAUACAGCCUUUCAAACAAAUAGUGCUGGGAAAACUGGUUAUCCAUAUAUAGAAGAAUGAUACUUACUAGACCCUUAUAUCUCACCCUGCACAAAAGUCGACUCAAAAUGGAACAAUGACUUAGGAGUUAGACCAGAAAAUAUAGGGUCAACCCUUAGUAUAUAGUCACAGGCAAUGACUUUCUCAAUAAGACCCCUAAAGCUCAGGAAAUAACUGCAAAAGUUAACAAAAGAGAUGGCAUCAAAUCAAAAAAGCUUCUGCACAGCAAAGGAAACAAUUAAGAAUGUGAAGAGAGAACCUACAGAAUAGGAAAAAACCUUUGCUAGCUACUCUUCUGACAGAGGAUUAAUUUUUAGAAUAAACAAAAACUCAAAACUUUACAUCAAAAACUCCACCCAAUGAACCCAAAUUAAUUAAAUGAAUUAAACAGAUACUUCUUAAAAGAAGAAAUACAAAUGGCCAACACAUAUACGAAGGAAAUGUUCAACAUCAUUAGCAAUGAGGAAAAUGAAAAUCAAAACUACACUGAAUCAGAAUGGCAGUCAUUAGGAUUACAAACAAUAAUAAAUGCUGGAGAACAAGGAACACUUUUACACUGUUGUGAGACUGAUAAUCAGUGCAACCACUAUGGAAAGCUAUAUAAAGUUUCCCCAGAAGACUAGGAAUGCAAUCACCACGUGACUCAGAUUUAUCACUCCUCAGUAUCUAUCCUAAAGAAUUGAAGUCAUCAUACUACAGUGAUAUAUGCAUAUCCAAUGUUUAUAGCAGCACAAUUCACAAUAGCCAAACUAUGGAACCAGCCAAGGUGUCCAUCGAUGAAUGAAUGGAUGAAGAAAAUGUGGUAUAGAAACACAAUGGAGUUUUAAUUCAGCCAUAAUGAAUAAAAUGAAAUUAUGUCAUUUGCAGGAAAAUGGAUGGAACUAGAGACCAUCAUGUUAAGCAAAAUAAGUCAAAAUCAGAAGGUCAAGGAGUGUAUGUUUUCUCUCAUAUGCAGAAGCUAGAGAGGAAAAAGAAAAAGAAAGGCAGGGGUGGACUUCACGGAAAUCAAAGGGAGAUCAGUACAGAAAAGGGACCAAGAGAGCGGGGGAAGUGCUGGGGAGUGAUAGUGUUGCUGGAUUUUGUGCAUGUACGAUUAGGUGACAACAGAUCCCAUCAUUAUGAACAACUGUAUGCACCGAUUAAAAAAAAAAGUAGAAAAAAUAAGUGACUGAUGGGGCAAACUGUAUGCAGACAGAAAACUUACCUUAUGGUUGACUUCAGAUAGCAAAGGUGGGAUGACUUGAACAAUGAAUUUUAAAAGACCCACACCAGUUAAUAAAAGCAUUGUGCCUGUUAAAAGGGUGCCCAAAGAAUCAUCUAUACUGUGUUUAUUCCAGAUCCCAAGUCUGGACUUACCAUUUUGAAAAUACCUAGGUCAGAUCUUAUAUAGCAUUUUAGAUAAUACUAAGUAGUUUGCAUUUGUUAUUUAUUUUUAGUUUAAAAUAUUCACAUUGAAUUUUUAUCAUGUAUGACAUGUUUUGAAGCAUAUAACAUUGUGGAAUGCUUAAAUGUAGCGACUAACAAAUACGUUACCUCACAUAGUUAUCAUUUUUGUACUGAAAUUACAUAACAUUUACUCUUUACAUUUUUCAAGAAUAUGUCUUGAUUAGUUAUAGUCACCUUGCUAUACAAUAGAUCUCUUGAAAUUUAUUCCUCGUAUCCAACAGUAAUUAGCUAUUCCUUGAUCAACCUUUCCCCAUCUUCUCACCCCUUAUCUACCCCAGAGUCUGGAAAUUAUGCUUCUGCUUUCUACUUCUAUGAUAUGAACUUUUAAACUUUCUUUGUAUGUGUGAGAUCAUACAGUAUUUGUCUUCUGUCCUUGGCUUAUUUCUUUUUUUAAUUUUAAAUUUAUUUAUUUAUUCUAACUUGUUAUACAUGACAGCAGAAUGCAUUUCAAUUCAUAGUACACAUAUGGAGCCCGAUUUUAUAUUCCUCUGGUUCCAUAGUUUGGCUCUUGUGGAUUGUGCUGCUAUAAACAUUGGAUAUACAUGUAAACUGUAGUAUGAUGACUUCAGUUCUUUAGGGUAAAUACUGAGGAGAGAUAAAUCUGAGUCAUAUGGUGAUUCCAUUCCUAGUCUUCUGAGGAAACUUUAUACAGAUUUCCAUAGUGGUUGCACUGAUUAACAGUCUCACAACAGUGUAAAAGUGUUCCUUGUUCUCCACAUCCUCUCCAGCAUUUAUUAUUGUUUGUAAUCCUAAUGACUGCCAUCCUGAUUGGUGUGAGAUGAAAUCUCAUUGUGAACAGUUUUUGUAGAGUGGCAGAGAGGGAAACAAUUUUCAGCAAGUGAAGAAGAAAGUAGGAGGCAAUGCCAAGUCUUAAGAAUUUGAAUGUGAAGGUCAGAGGAAGCUGGAGAGUUUGCUCAAGAGAGGUGCAGGGUUGUGGAGGGGCUUCCUUUUUCACAUGGGGCUUCCUUUUUACAAAGGAAAAUAGGACUUGAAGAAAAUUCCAUCUAAAUGACAUGUUUUCUAUGCUAAGAAGAUGGUAAGAUAAAGAUGAUAAAGAUGAAGUUUGAAAACUGAGUUUAAGGAAUCUUUUUUUUUCUUUUAUGAACAGGAAUAUUUAAUCUCUAUUCCAAUAGCAACUACUGAUUGUAGGACAAAUUUGAAUGAAUUGGAUGAAGGGAAAAUUCAUUUCAUUAACCUUUCAUAUGAAUGUAUUAUUUUUUUAUUUUAUUUUUUUUUAAUUUUAAUUUUAAUUUUUUUAGUCAUACAUGACAGCAGAAUGUAUUUUGACAUAUAAUACAUACAUGGAACGUACAUACAUCAAUCAUAUUGUCUGUUCUAUUCUGCUGCCCUUCCUAUCCUGCCUACUCCUCCCCUCCUCUCCCAUCCUUUCUCUCUAUCCAAUCUAAUGUGACACACUUUUUUUCUUUUUCUCAUUACAACAUCAUAAAUGUAUUCUGUAUAACAAUGAGGUUCUCUUUCCAUUUUCCGUGCAACUCCCCUUCUCCCUCUUUUUCCCUCCCACCUCUCUUCCCUAUUUAGUGGUAGUCUUCUUCUCAUGCUCUUCCUCCCUAUCCCAUUUUGAGUCACCCCCCUUAUAUCAGAGAAGACAUUUGGCAUUUGUUUUUUAGGGAUUGGCUAACUUCACUUAGCAUAAUCUGCUCUAAUGACAUCCAUUUGCCUGCAAAUGCCAUGAUCUUGUUAUUUUUUAGUGCUGAGUAAUAUUCCAUUGUGUAUAAAUGCCACAUUUUUUAAUCCAUUCAUCUAUUGAAUGCAUCUAGGUUGGUUCCACAUUCUUGCUAUUGUGAAUUGUGCUGCUAUAAACAUUGAUGUGGCUGUGUCCCUGUAGUAUGCUCUUUUUAGGUCUUUUGGGUAUAGUCCAAGAAGGGGAAUAGCUGGGUCAAAUGGUGGUUCCAUUCCCAGCUUUCCAAGGAAUCUCCAUACUGCUUUCCAAAUUGGCUGCACCAAUUUGCAGUCCCACCAGCAAUGUAUGAGUGUACCUUUUUCCCNUUUUAGCACCUUUGUCUAAUAUAAGGUAGUUGUAAUUUUGUGGAUUUGUCUCUGUGUCCUCUAUUUUGUACCAUUGGUCUACUAGCCUGUUUUGGUGCCAGUACCAUGCUGUUUUUGUUACUAUUGUUCUAUAGUAUAGUUUAAAAUCUGGUAUCGUGAUACCACCAAUUUCACUCUUCCUGCUUAGAAUUACAGGCUCAAGUGGUAACAUGCUCACCUGGCAUGCGCAGGGUGCUGGGUUCGAUCCUCAGCAUCACAUAAAAAUAAAAUAAAGAUGUUGUGUCCACCGAAAACUAAAAAAUAAAUAUUAAAAAAUUCUCUCGUGUGGGUUACAGUCAUUCAUGUGACAGAGUUGCAUAGACAUUAUCUAUACUUACAAAAGAAAAUAGGACUUGAAGAAAAAGUUCCAUCUAAAUGACAUGUUUUCUAUGCUAAGAAGAUGGUAAGAUAAAGAUGAUAAAGAUGAAGUUUGAAAACUGAGUUUAAGGUUAAAAUUAAAUAGCAAAUAACAAAGCUGUUUGUGGUAAAGGAAAAAGGAGCAGGAAAAUUAGGAGACUGCUGAUUGGCCCAAAGGUUUGACCAAAGUUGAAACAAUAUUUCUUCUUGGUGCCAGAUUUGUAAUUAAUUGAUUAUAAAAUGCAUCCUUCCUUAAUUGUAGCAUUUGGGACAAUGUUUUGUUAUUAUUCAUGUUGAGCCCACAACUGGGAAACAAUAUGCACAGAUUCAUCCAUUUUCUAAGUUCUGACACAUAUGUUUUAUUUCCUGAAGAUGCACACCUUUGAAAUAUUGCUCAUGAACCUUGCCGAUGAAUGCCAAUUCUGUUGGUGAUGAAUACAAUCUGAUGAAGAAAGAAUGAUUUCAAGGGAAGUGGAAUAUCUCUGCAUAUUGUAUGGACCCUGUUAGAGACCAAAGAUGCUUUCAGACAUGUAGAUGUUUAUUGAGAACUCUUCUGAAAACAAUAUACUCAUUGAUUCAAAGACCAUAUCUACCUAACAAAAGAGGAAGGUUGAUGAAUCCCUAACUCAUUUUUAUCAUUGUGUUCUUUAAUCUUGAUUGAUUUUGUAUCAGUCUAAAUCAUUGGAUAAUUAAUUGCUCCAACAGCUCAAGUAUUGUUUGAGAAAAUCAACCAGUCUGGGGGAGUCAUUUGUCUUACCCAAGAUAGAGAAAUAAUUUUCAUUAAAAAUGGUGAAGAAGUAAUUUUAAUAACCUGAAUAUUUGUGUCCUGGGAACGGAAAUAGCUAGUUCUUUUGGGGUGCACAAGAAAAUGCCAGAACAUGUUAGACUGUUUGGUUGGAAACUGAGCCAGAGUCACCAAGUUUCUCUGUUCUAUUUUCCUUUCCACCUUUCUUGUGUCUGAUAAAGUCUUUCCUUAUUUAUAAUAUCUACUAAGAGCUCAUUAUCUAUCUCUCCAUCUACCAUCUCUGUAUUUAUACAUCAUCUCUUUGCCUAUUUAUCUUCCAAAGAAGUUUAAAGUAUCUGGUCUGUGAAAGCAGAAGAGGACUAUUAGAGUCUGGAAAGGGGGUUAGAGGAGGAGGUCAAGUGGGGGUGGGGGAGGACAGGAGAAAGGAGAAGGGACAUAAUCAGAGCUUGAUACAUGCAUAAAUGGAAAUGCCACAGUGAAACCCAUUAAUUUGUGUAAUUAAUAGUGUUAAUUAUAAUCUCCAUGCUAAUAAAAUAUCUGGUUCCCCGUAUAUCUCAUAAAUAGUCAUAAAAUUCUACCCAACACAUUAAGGAUGUUAAUUAUGUACUUGUGUCUGCAUUCCAUGGCCUUCACCAAGAGACACAUACUAGGCAGCUUAAAUCUUAUUUUGAACACAGAUUUUAAAAUCCUAAUGAGGUCAGAGGCCUAACAUGUUAUUUUUCUGUAGUAAUUACAAGAUUUCUAUCUCAGGCUUGGUGAUGAUACAGUGUUGUAUGUGACAAACUAAAAUAGAUUGUUUCUUUGAAAUCUGGGUCAGAACAUCAUUGUCAGAUUUUUGUUUUCUUAAAGAAAGAGAGAGAGAGUGAGAGAGAGGGGGAGAGAGAGAAUUUUAAUAUUUAUUUUUUAGUAUUUGGCGGACACAACAUCUUUGUCUGUAUGUGGUGCUGAGGAUCGAACCCGGGCCGCACGCAUGCCAGGUGAGUGCGCUACCGCUUGAGCCACACAUCCCCAGCCCCAUCAUUGUCAGAUUUUUGAAAAUUUCACCAAAUGCAGCUUAAAUGACUUUAAACUUAGAAGCAGCGCAAAACAGGAAAUAUCAUGGAAAAGAAAUAUAAAUUUAGAGAAUGUCAGUCAUUUUCACCAUUGAUUUAAAAAUCAACAUUAACAUGGUGGGGUAUAUUUUUAUAAAAUGCCACAAAGUAUAAUAAUUAUAUGUCAAUGUUUUUGAUUUUUAAGCAAUUUAAUCUUUCCUUUUUCUGAGUUAAAGACUUCUCAAGAAAGAUUAAAAUAGGUAAACGAUUCUUGCCAUAUGUUUCUGUAAUCCUUUUGAAAGAUUUUUUAGAAACAAUUUUUUAAUUUUUGAUUCAGAAAUAAUUUAAAAUUACUUCUACAAAGAGGAAUAUAUGUCUAGAGGAUUACAUUUGUUUCUGAUUUCUUAUCUCGUUAACAAGAUUUUUCCAAGUUCCUCUUGAAUCCAAAAGAACACAAAAAGGAGAUUGGAGGCAUAAAGCCUAUUAUUUCCCACCAUUAAGUUAGAUAAUUUUCUUUCCCUUUGUAAUAUUUGAUUUGCACUCAUUUUCUAAUGUGCCAGGAAAGCUGGACUCACCUCAGUUGCCUGAGUGAAUUAUUUUAAGGUCAGAGUCUCCUAUAUCUUCUCUUGGGUUUACGUUUGAAUCAAAACCAAGUUUUUAACUCAGAUGUUGCUGAUCAGAAGUUUCUAAAAAUCUCAUUUAUUUUUUAUUCCCUUCCUUUACCUGUGCUCAAUAUACCAACUGAUGAACCUUCUUCUUGUGCUCAUAUAUAUAGUUUUUUAAAAUUCUAUUUUGUUAUAUAUGACAGCAGAAUGCAUUACAAUGCAUAUUACACAUAUAGAGUUGUGCUCUCUUCUUUUGUAAUGCAUGAUUGUACCAUUUUCAAAGACCUCUUUUCCCCCAAUAGUACUUUUUUUAUACUUUCCUUCCAGUUUUAAUUCAUUUUUUUUCUAAAUACAUGUAGGCCACUGAGCUAUCAAUCAAACACAGUGUCUGGGUAUAGAGUCCCUAAAGCAAGCUGCUGAGUCCCUGGGCUUGACAUCUUUGACUGUUUCAGUGUUAGGAGGUAAGCUAGAGACAUAUGAAGGAGACCAGUUUUCAAGUUGUUGAAGUAGGAAGGGAAUAAGGUCAAGGUAUUUCAUUCUCAUCGCAGCCCUGUGAUUAAAGUUACCCUUGUUUUCCUUACAUCACAGGUUUAGACAAAAUUUCCUGGAUUACAUAGUUGGGAACAAGCAGAGAAGGGCUAUUUUUAUUUUUAUUUAUUUUUGGCACUGGGAAUUAAACCUUUCUCAUGCUAGGUGCAUGUUUUAUCACUGAGCUACACACACAGCCCCCAUAAUAGGGAUUUGAAUUCAGGUCUGUGUCAUUUUGAGGUCUUUUUGAAUUUAACUCUUAUACUACAUCAACCUGACCAGCUAUUUAGAAAUACCUCCAAUAAGUCACCAAUGAACUUUGCUAUGAAACAUUUCAAAGCUCAAGGUUUAUAUGAAUAGCUCUGUCUUGCACAUUACUGUACAAUGAUGCCCAAAAUGACUCCAUUGUGUACUGAGAGAAAAGUCUUUCUCUUUAUGGGGGCUAUGCCCUGGGAAACAGAUUCAUAUGAAAGAGACUAACAAACUGGGCAUGGUGGCACACUCCUGCAAUCCCAGUGGCUUUUGAGGCUGAGGCAGGAGGAUGGCAAGUUCAGAGCCAGCCUCAGCUACUUAGUGAUGCCCUGAGCAACAUAGCAAGAACUUGUCUCAAAAUUAAAAACAAACAACAACAACAACAACAAAAAGAGGACAAAUAGGAGAUUGAUUUAAUUUACAAAAUGGAAUUUCAAAUUAUUUUUAUAAAAAUGAAUGUAUAGAGGGUUACAAAUAUUGAUCAUUUGUAGAAGUUGUUCCGUUUGGCUAUGUAGAAUUACUUCAGAGGUCCAUUAAUAAAUUCAAAGGUUCUAAAAUCAGAACAAAGAACCAGUGUUCUUAAUGGACCUUCCUUUAUACCAGUACAGCCAAUUGACUCACAAGGCUGAGGCAGGAGGAUCACAAGUUCCAGGGCAGCCUGCAAAAAUAACAAGACACUACCUCAAAAAAAAUAGAUGAAGUUAAUAUCAAUAACAUAUGAAUAUAGGCUAAUAUGUUAUAUAACAUAUAAUAUUAUAUAUAACAAUAUAUCCAAAAUAUAAUUAUUUAAACCUGUAUUCUAUAUAAAAUUACUAAUGAGAAAUUUUACUGUCUUUUUUCAUACCAUUUUCAGAAUCCAGUGUUCAUUCUACUCUUGGAGUACACCUCAUUUUGGAUUAGCCCCUUUCCAAAUGCUCAGUGGCCAAUGCUUUGAGUGGCUACUGUCCUGGAUGGCACAGUUCUAUACCUACUGUGGAGGAUUUAAGAGAGACUUUCACCCAUCAGCAAAGGAUGUGCAAACUUUUUUCUAAGGUGAAUGGUUCUGCAGAUGACUGAGUUCAUCUGUUAUAUGUCAGUUACUGUUUUAAAAAUUUCUGUUUCAGAAUGUGAUAGGUUCUCACUUAAAAGAAAAAUUUCAUCUGAGUUUAGUGUCUUUCUACUUACACAUUUCUGAUGGACAAAGCAUGAUACAAGGAAGUUAUUACUUAAGUUUCAAUCAGGUAUUAUUUUACUACUAAGACUUGCUAGAAAUAUUCCAUUUCCUUUAAUAGAUAUUUGUGAAAUUGCCUGCUACAUGCAAGGUAUUAAGAGGGAAAAUAUGUGUAAGGCCCAUUUUUUAAAAAACAAUAAUUAUUUUAAAUAUUGAAAAUCUCUAAAUGGAUUAACGGGAAAGUGCUCCAAUUUGUUGAGUUCUUACAUGUAAUUAACAUGUGUGACCUUGUUUUAUCCUAAAGGGUUUAUGAUAUGGUUAAAUCUUAUUCCAGUGGAUGCUUGAUAUUUGAGAAACUUCAAAUGUGUAUGAAUGCAGACAUUUAAGCCUCACUCUCAAAAGCACUGGUGUUUGAGGUGGAUGGACUCAAGUUCAAGUUCUAGUUUUUCUUGUUUUCUGAUCUUGGGAAAAUUGUUUAAACUUCAGAAGUCUGUUUCCCCAUUUAGAAAAUAAGCAUCAUAACAGUCCCUAUCUCUUAAGGUUGUUUAAGGACUGAGUGAGCUAAUUCAGGACAAGCACACUGUGCGAGGCAGAUACAAAGGACUCACUAAAUGUCAGCUGCUCAGUGUUUCUAUCAUCAGCAGCGACAGGCCUCAUAUAUACUGGUGGUUUCAGUUUGCAGAAAUUUUCUCAUCUACUCAAUAUAGUCCAGUUCAUUUUUUAUGUUACAUGAGUAAACAGAGAAGCCCAAAAUACUUUUCCAUGAUCCACUGUACAAACUGUAUUAGAAGUUUUUAGAAGUAGAUCUGCCAUUCCCCAACAGCUAGGGGAGAGGACAACACGUUUGUCUGUUUCUGCCUAGGAACUAACAGCUCUCUUCUUCAAAGGUGAUGACUAUGGUUUCUCUCUGAAAGAUACCUAAAUUCUAGCCAAUGCUGCUUUAGGAUUUGACGCAUCUAAAAAGAGAUAGAAGAACAAGGUUUUUCCUCGAUCAUACCUUGUCAUUCAAAGUUCUUUUCAUGCUUUUGUUAUGGCUGAAGAUUGUAUUUAGGUAGCGCAACAAAACCAACAAAAAUCAAAAUGAACCAAUGACCAGAGCAAAAGCUGAGAAAGAAAGGGCAAAGAGCUUCUGUCCAGAGUUCAAGUGCUUCCACUCAUCAGUUAGUCUUAACCUUUUUGAUAAUUAUAUUAUGUGCAACAGCAAAGACACAAAAGGGGAUAAAGGUCUUAGGAGUUAUAUUGACAAACUAUGUGUGGUGCUCAGAAAUGGCACGGAAUAUCUUGUUUAAGCUGUAAAAAUAUAUUAGCAUGUCAUGUUAUCUUCAUAAAUUCUUCUCACACAUAAGGCGGGUGGAGUUCCCGAAUCCCAAGGCACAUUACCAAUUCGGCUGGCCACUGUAAUCCAUCAAUUGUUUUGUCACAUAUUUGCAGGCUCACAGUUGGGACUGAGGUAUUAUGAUUCUGGAGGGUUUGAUAAUAGGUGAGUUAUUAGCUGUUGGGGACAGAUUUGUUUCUGAGCCUUUCUGUGGCCGUCUCUUAUAUAGAAAGGCAAUCAUUCUCAUGGAAUUUGCUCCCUCAGACUUAAAAAGACUCGAAUAUUCCUUGUAAUUUUUUUUUCCCAGUAAAAUUUCAUUAGUGGUUAAUCAUGACUGGUGGAGCUUUCCGGAAGUUCACCAAGAGUGUUGAGAGUUCAUACAUGUCAAAUUUGAAACAGCCUUGUUAUGGGAAAGCCUGCUGUAUUCUUUGUCAUCAUGUUUAAAGAAAACAUUUUGUUUUUAGAAAAUGAAAAGAUGUGUAGAGCCAUCUUUCUAGGCUGGACAAUUUUACCUUUUGUUUUUUGAUUAUUUGCCUAGGACUGUAUGAUUUGGGGUAAGAAAUAAUUCACUCCUAGGCAUAUUUAAAUAGCAUCUAACUUUGGUAAAUAUGCAAGAAGUGGAAGAACUUUCCUCCCUCCUUCCUUCCUUUCUCUCCCUCUUUCCCUCUCUCUCUUCCUUUAUUCUUCUCUCUCUGUGCUGAAAUUGAACCCAGGGCCUUAUACAUUCUAGGCAAGCACUCUACCACUGAUUUACAAUCCUAGUCUUCCAAAAGGUUUUUGUAGAUGCUGCAAAUCAGGCCAGAUAAGCUAUACUUACAACCAGUUAGGUCUACCUAGAAAAUUCUCAAAGGAGCUAGAUCAUACUGAAAGUAGAAUCAAUUUCUCUUCCAAUGGUGCACGUUUUAGGGAAACAAAAAGAAGAUAAAAUGCAAAGGUAUGCAAUAAACUUCUCAAUGCAUUUUCCCCAACAUUUAAAUUUUCUAUUUUAUAAGGGUAUCUUCAGGUUAGGUAUUUUAUUUCACACAUUCUCAUUAACCAAAAUCAGCUUCACUAUUAAAAUAUUGUGAAUUGCUUAUAUUUUUUUUUCAGUGAAAGUUAAAAGAUAUGGAAAUAAAAGACCAUUUCCCAAAAUUCAAUACAAAAUAUGUUACAUUGGAUUAGUUAGAUAAUUGAAAACUUUAUUUGAACCACACUGAACCCAAAAUUUUUGCUGGGAACACAUUGCAGACUUUUAUGCUGUUUUUCCUCUCUGAUAUAUUGGAGACUGGAUUUAUCUAAAAGCAGCACCUGUAAUUCCCUGGCUGAAGGAAAGAGGAGAAAUGACAAAACUUUAAGAUGGAGAAGUAGUCACCUUGGCAGUGAAGCUUCCAAGUGGCAGUUGAAUCUAUAGAGUCUGAUAAAGAAAUAAAAAAAUAUUUAGGACAUGCUCUUUCACUCAGCAAGUGCGUCAGUCAGGGGCUGGCAGAAAGCAGGUGCUGCCUGCAAGAUGGAGAACUUGAGGACUUUAAUAGGAAUCUAUUUACAAAGGAGGGACGAAGUGUAGGGAAACCACAGAGAUAGUACAGCACUCCCAGGGCCAGAAAUAGCAGAGCUAUCCUAAUCCCUAGGUCAAAAGAAAUGAGGUGGGGGAAGGAUAGAGUUCCCAAAAUUUGGUAAAAGAAAGUAGAGAGAGAGAGAGGCAGUUUCCUUGAGAGGGGCAGUGACCUUGUCUGAGGGAAACAAUGGCCUGAGGUGAGCCCCCUGAUGUAAGAGUCAGGCAAUACAGCCUCAGAUCUCUCUUUCUCCUCCUUCUCUCCUAUUGGGACUCCUCAUUGGCUGUAUCCAACUGGACGCUAACGAAUGACAUGUUCCAUGCAGGUCUGUCUCUCAUUGUAGGCCUCAGGGUCCAGGAGCGUGGAUUCUGGGGGACAGAGAAGAUAUUCCUUAUAGACAGUCUAAACAAAGCACUUACUAUAAGCAAGACCCAGUGGAAGGGGACUUGAAUCAGGCAUAAGCUGUGGAAAGAUUUGUGAAGAUUUGCUGUUUGUUAAUUCAUCUCUGAUUCUGGUAUGGUAGAUCAGAAUCAAAAAUACUGCUGCUGAGAUACUGUCCUAGCCUUUCUUCUAGGGCUUCUGCUAGUUGGUGAUUCAGACUUCUUUCCCACUGGCUGUGCUUUCCCCUAUCGUAAUACUAUUGGAAUCAUCUUGUGACAGUAGUGUCAUGGGGGUGCAGUUGGCCAGAAAUAUCUCACAACUGAGCAACUUGCUGCUAGAGUUCCCAGGCACAUGUGCUUGUUAUUACAACACCACAUUUUCUUUUGACGAUUGUUUUGCUCCUUAUUAGAGCAGUUUUGUAAUAUUUUUCCUCAGCAAGGCUGGGGAUGUGGAAAUGAAGAGAGGCAGAAAUUGAAGUGGGUUGGUAAUCCCAGCAGACAUUUGAGCAGUGAGAUUUCUAUGUCAGAGGAAGAAAUGGCUGUAUGUUCCACAUGGACCUAAUUCCCCCCUUUUAUCUUAAUUUCAGAUCCUAUAGGAAAAAGAUAGCACUGAAAAUCUAUAAGGCAUAACUUGCUCUUCGUUACCAACUAGGUCAUGAGCACCCAUGCCUAUGGUCACCUACAAGUCUAGAGCUCUGUGGUUUUAUAGGGAAUUCAUUGGCUACAGGAGGAGUGAGAUGAGAUACCGAGGGGACACUCAUUGGCCAGUGUCUCUGCUUAACAGUUUUGUUCAUAAUAAGGGUAUAUAUGUGUAGCAAUUAUUUAGUCAUCAAAUUUUCCUCAAACGAGAAUCUCAGUUAAUUCUUAUAGUGGCCCUAUGAGGUGGGCAAGGCAGUCCUGAUUAAUUCCCUUUUCACAUAAGAAUUGAGCCUUAGAAGCCAACUAACCUGCCAGGGUUCUAUGGCUGAGAAGUGGCAGAGUGACAGAAGUUGAAUUCCAUUCUAAAACAAAAUCACAGAAGUUUCUAAGAAGAUUCAAAGGAGAAUCUAUCUAUGCCUCUUAUUGUUCUCAGAAAAUUUGAGUGUUGGGAUAAUCAGGUAGCUUUUGAGUGAGUUUUGACUGUAACUCUAUCCAAUGAAUAAGUAACUGUAUUUGGGAAUAAAAUUAUGUUUUAUUUGAGUCAUUGUUCAAAUGCCCCUUCUCUUAUUUUUUCCCUCUUCAGAAUACUGGUAGCAGGAAGGUGUGCUGCUUUCUGCCAAUGUGUUGGUUCUAACUUGGUAAAUAAUGUCAAACAGCACCAAAAUUCAACAGGAGGGUAUGACUUGUGAGGUAUGAAUGGUUUCAAAUUAGAUACUGUCUUGAACCCUUUUACUAUAGUCUAGCCUAUUGAAAUUUAGGAACUUGCACUAAUUCUUUCAUGUCAUUGGGGUAACGUUCUUUGAUAAGCAACUUUACUGCAUGGAUAUAUAAGCAAGUUAAAAUACAUUUUAAGACAUUUAAUAUUCAAGUACCAGGGAAAUCUAAGACAAAGAUUAUGUUUGAAAAUAACUUCAAUAACUUACAAUAAUAAAAAGCAUUUUAUGGAUAUAGCCACACUGUUAAGAUUUUCCAGUGCCUUCUCUGUAUCUUCUAUAUAGUAAAGAUUUUUCUUCUAGAAAGCCUUUAAAUCGUCCAAGUAAAAAUGAUUCACUAAUAUUUAUACUAAAUUUGAUUAAGUUAAUUUGAUUAAAUAGAGAUGGAUUAUGAUAAUUCUAUUAAUUUUUAUUUUGUAAUUCUAAAUGUCUAAUUAUGAGAACCUCAAACAUUGCCAUGGACAUAGAAUUUAAUGUCAACUAUGUAUUUAAAUUGGAAAACUGUCUUUGAAAAGCACAUUGUUAAGAAAACACAAUGCCAUCCUAGGCUGGAUGGAUUUUUCUCUGACUUGUGAUUUUCUAACUUCUCUUUUUCUGUAUCAUGUUUCUCCAGAGAAACAGAAACAACUGGAUAUAUGUAGAUAUGUAGAAUGAAACUUAUAAUGAGGGAUUUGUUCAUGCAAUAUGGGGAUUGAGAAGUUCCAUAAGUUUCCUCUGUGAACUUGAGGGCCAGUGGAGCCCGUGGUAUUGUUCCAGUGUAAGCUCAAAGGCAUAAGAACUGGGAGACCCGAUGGUGUAGGUGCCAGUUCCAGUCUGAAAACCCCCAAACCAGGACUCUGAUGUCCAAGAACUGGAAAAGAUAGAUAACCCUGCUCAAGCAGAGACAGAAAAUGUUUCCUUUCUCUGCUUUUUAAAAAUUUCCUCUUUGAGUUUCUGGCUAGCAUUUCUAGUAGUAUAUUAAAUAUUAGUAUGAGACUGGUCAUCCUUAUCUUGUCCCAUAUUUAAAAGGAAAUGCUUUCAGUUUUUCCCCAUUUACUCUUAGGUUGAUUUUGGGUUUUUCACAUAUAGCCUUUAUGAUGUUGAGGUAGGUUCCUUCUAACCCUAUUUUGUUCAGUAUUUUAAAAAAUCAUUUUUAUUUUUUAAUUUGUUGUAAUUAGUGUUCAAUGUUUUUAUAAUUAAUGGAUGCUGAAUUUUGUCAAAGGCCUUCUCUGUAUUUAUUGAGAUAACUAAGUAAUUUUUGUCUUUAUUUCUGUUUAUGUGGUUAAUUAAAUUUAUUAAUUUUCAAAUAUUAAACCAUCCUUGAAUCUCUGGGAUAAAACCAACUUGGUCAUGAUAUACAAUCUUCUUAAUAUGUUGUUGAACAUGAUUUGCUGAUAUUUUAUUAAGAAUUUCUGCAUCUAAGUUCAUCAAGCAUAUUGUUUUAUAUAGUUUUCUCUCCUUGAUGUGUCCUUAUUGGUUUUGGCCUGAGUGUGAUACUGGCUUCAUAGAAUGAAUUUGGAAAUGUUCUGUCUAUUUCUAUUUCUAUUUCUAUUUCAUGGACUAACUUGAGGAGUAUCGACAUUAGUUCUUCUUUAAAGGUCUGGUAGAAUUCAGGUAGGAAUCCAUUUGGUCCUGGGCUUUUCUUUGUUGGAAUGCUGUUUGUUACCACUUCUAUCUCAUUUUAAGUUAUUGGUCUGUUUAAGUUUUCUAUUUCUUCUUGAUUCAGUUUUCUUGACACAACUUUCAGGUUGUAAAUGCCUGAAAAUUUCUUCUAGGUUUUCCAAUUUAUUGAAGUAUAAAUUUUCAAACUAGUUCCCAAUGAUCUGCUGGAUUUCUGUGAUGUCUGUGGUGAUUUCUCCUUUUUCAUCUCUAAUUUAUCAAUUUGUGAUUAUUUUCUUCUUCUUUUGGUUAGUUUGGCUAAGGUUUUAUCAAUGUUGAUUAUAUUUUCAAAGAAUCAACUCUUCAUUUCAUUGAUUCUUGUAUUUUUUUAUUCCUAAUUUUAUUGAUUUAAGCUCUGAUCUUGAUUAUUUCCUCGCUUCUACUCGUUUUGGAAUUGGUUUGUUCUUUUUCAAUGGUCUUGAUGUGCAUGAUUAGAAUGUUUAUUUGGAAUCUUUCUAAUUAUUUUUUUUUAUGUAAGCACUAAUAACUGUAAACUUGGAUUUUAAAACUGCCUUCAGAGGUUCUGGUAUGUUGUACCAUAAUUUUGUUUAAGAAUUUUAAUAUUUCUUUCUGAUUUCUAUCACACAUUCAUCAUUCAAAAGUGUAUUGAUCUACAACCACUAUGGAAAUCAGUAUAGAGUUUCCUCAAAAGACUAGGCAUGGAACCACCAUAUGAUCCAGUUAUAUCACUUCUUGGUAUUUAUCCUAAAGAAUUAGUCAUUAUACUACAGUGAUACCCAUGUUUGUAGCAGCACAAUUCCCAAUAGCCAUGCUAUGAAGCCAGCCUAAGUGUCCAUCAAUGGAUGAGUGAAUAAAGAAAAUGUGGUACCUAUACACAAUGGACUUUUGUUCAGCCAUAAAUAAAAAUGAAAUUAUGUCAUUUGCAGGAAAAUGGAUAGAACUGGAGGCCAUCAUGUUAAGUAACAUAAGUCAAACUAUGAGGGUUAAGGGUCAUAAGUUUUCUCUCAAGCUAGAGAGGAAAAAAUGAAAACAAAAGUGACAGUGGACUUCCUAAAAAUCAAACGCAGAUCAAUGGAGGAAAGUGACCAAGGAGUGGAAGGAGGAGGGAGGGAGGAAGUGCUGGGGAGUGAUGUUGGCUAAAUCAUAUUGUUACAUUGUGUGCAUGUAUGAAUAAGUUACAGCAAACCACAUCAAUAUGUACAACUAUACACUAAAAAUGUGGAAAAGAAGCAUGUUGUUUAAUCUUCAUGUAUUUAUAUAAUUUCUGUAGGGUUUUGUUGAUUUCUAAUUUCAUUUCAUUAUGAUCUGAUAGAUGCAAGGAAUUAUGUCGAUUUUGUUUUGUAUUUUCUAGGAGUUGCUUUUUGUCCUAGAAUGUGGUAUAUUUUGGAGAAGGUUCCUUGAACUUCUGAGAAGGAAGUGUAUUCAAGUGUUUUUGGAUUUAUUUCUAUAGUGUCUGUUAAAUGCUUUUGAUAUAUAAUAUCUUUCAGAUCCAAAGAAUCUUUCCUGAGUUUAUAUCUGGUGACCUGUCCCAUGGUGAGAGAGGUGUGUUAAAAUCACCCAGUAUUAUUGUUCUCGGGUAUAUCUGAGGCUUCAAUUUGAGUAGUAUGCUUUUUUUUAAAUAUAUAUAUAUAUAUAAUUAGUUACACUCACAUUUGGGGAAUAAAUAUUCAUUCUUAUUGUAUCUUGUUGAAUUGUUCUCUCUCCCAAAUGAAGUAAUUUUGUCUCUCCUGACUAAUUUUGGUUUGAAGUUUGAUUUGUCAAGCACAAGAGUAGCUAGUCCUGCUUGUUUUCAGGCUCCAUUUGCAUGAUAUAUCAAUUUCCAUCCUUCCAUUUUCAGCCUGCGGCUCUUUGCCUGGAAGGCAAGUCUCUUGCAAACAACAUAUAGUUGGGUUCUGAUUUUUAAUCCUUUCUGCUAGUCUGUGUCUUUAUACUGGAGAGUUGGAACCAUAUACAUUCAAUGUUAUUUUAGAGAGAUAUUUAUUAAUUUCUGCCAUUUUUAUUUAUUGAUAAUGUUUAAUUUGAACCUCUUUCUCAUUUGAUUAGCUAUAAAUUUUGUUUAAUAAAUAAAAUGCUUUAUUCACACAGCUAUCACUUACUCAUUGUUCACUAUAAGCCAGGGACUGUGUUAAGUACUGCCAUGCAAUAAUUUAUUUGCUAUUUAUUAACUCAGCCCAUUUUGGAGUGCCUACCAUUGGCCAGAUGCUUAGAAACAGUUAUAAAAUGACUUAAAUUUCUGGUUUCAUGAACCUAACAUUUUAGAAGGGGAUAAAUAAUAAAGAAAUAAAUAACCAACACAUAUAUGUGCAUAUAAACAUUUUUUUAUACCUUAGCAUCAUAUGUUUCUAUCUUACAGCCCUCCAGACCCUCUUAUAAAACCCAAUCCUUGCCCUGAUGCAUCUAGUGUAAAUGUUUCUUUUUUUUUUCUAUUUUUAUUUUACUUUAUUUUAUUUUAUUUUUAUUUUUUUAUUGGUUGUUCAAAACAUUACAAAGCUCUUGACAUAUCAUAUUUCAUACAUUAGAUUCAAGUUCGUUAUGAACUCCCAAUUUUACCCCAAAUACAGAUUGCAGAAUCACAUCGGUUACACAUCCACAUUUUUACAUAAUGCCCUAUUAGUAACUGUUGUAUUCUGCUACCUUUCCUAUCCUCUACUAUCCCCCCUCUAAGUAUUGUUUGGUACCUAUGAUUCAAGUACCAGUAAUUUGUAUUCUUAUAUGGAGAAUAAAUAGCACACACACACACACACACAUACAUAUAUAUGCAUUUGCAUGCAGACACUGUCUACAUGUAUGUAGCUAUGUACAUAUAUACACAUGAUAUGCAUGUAUGUAUGAUAAAAAUAGCAAAGCUACAGGGAUUAAUAGAAUAUGAAUGUAGUGAUAUUUUAGAAAGAUAGCACUACAUUAGGAAAGGUCUCUAAGGAGAUGGCAUUUGAGAGAGACCCCAUUGAAGCAAGGGAAAGAUACAGAGUUCCUGGAAGAGGGAAGAAUGUGUCCAGAAGCUCAAGAUUGGGGUGCUCUUGGCGUGUUCUUGGCACAGCAAGAAGGUAAACUGUGGCCAUGAGCCUUGGGUGACAGGGAGAGCUUCCUGGAAAUGAGGUCAGAGAGAUAGGCAGAACCAACCUGUGGAAGAAUUUAACAGAUUUAUUUCUAUGUGCAAUUAGAAGACAUUGGGGGAGGUGGUGUAAGUAGGUGAUGAUAUGGUCUGAUAUAUGAGAAAUAAGACAAAUGAAAAACAUCCUGAAACAUCACUAAAGAAACCUGAAGGUUCUAUAAUUAAACAUUUAUAGACAAAUGAAUAUUAGACUAUAAAAAUUUAUAAAAGAAAUUUGCUAGACUUUUUAAAAAUCAGCUAUAUGUAUGGUCUAUGUAGGGUGCAUAUGUAUGUGAGUAAUUGUGGGAAUGAUAUAACAAUUUUAAAUGGAACAUUAUGGCCUCAAAGUUUAUGAAGAUGGGAAAUAUAGCAUUUACAAACUGAACAAAGAGUGUCAUUGUUCAUUAGAGAAAUAAAAGCUAUAGCUAUUUUUAUUUUUCAAAUCUAUAUUUUUAUAUUACAGAUCCUAAAGACAUGAUUUAAAUUCUCUAUAUCAGAAUAUAAAUUACCACUGCUUUAAUUGUAGGUCCCAGACAACACUUAAGAAACAUUUACAGUAGACAUUUUCCUCACAUCAGGGCAGGAAUUGGUGGGUAAGAGGAUCUGGAGAUCUGUGGGACAGAAACAUAUGAUGUUAAGGUAUGAAAUCAUCAAAGCUCCUUCCCCCCCACCAUUUCUAUGCACUGAUGAGAUCUUAGUGCUACAGUUAAGGACUCUGGGUUGUAAAAUUAAUUUUGAUGCUAAAAGGAUAGGCACCUGGAACAAGACGAAACAAUGAUGGUAUAUGAUGAAACAAUGAUGGAACGUAACAGCUAAUGUUCAUUGAGUGCUAGGCCCUGUGUGAUUGGGUGCUCUGUUGGUAUUAUAAAGCCUUCAUGAGUGGUUUUCCUUAUCAGAGUUCUUUUGUUACUGUUUUUUGUUGACAAGUUAUCAUAUGUAUUUAUGGGAUACAAAGUGAUGUUAUGAUAUAUGUGUACGUGUACUGUAUGAAAUGAUUGAAUCAAGCUAAUUAACAUAGUCAUCACAUUAAGAGCUUAUCAUUUAUUUCUCCUUUCUAACUGCCAUUGUUUACCCUUUGAGCAACAUCUCCCCAUUCACCUCACUUUCUAGUCCCUGGUAACCACCAUUCUACUCUGAUUAUUUGAGUUUGAUUGCUUUGGAUUCUAUACGUAAGUGAGAAUAUGCAGUAUUUGUCUUCCUAUGCCUGGCUUUUUUCUACUUAAAAAAGAUUCUCUAGGUUCACCCAUGUUUCACAAAUGAAAGAAUGUUUUCUUUCUUUUUUAAGACUGAAUAGUAUUCCUUUGUGCAUAUACACCACAUUUUCUGUACACAUUCAUCUAUUGUUAGACACUUAGGUUGAUUCCAUAAUAUUUCCUUGUCAGAGUUGUAAACUAAAGGAGUGAGAAAACAAAUUUGGCCAAAGAGAGAACCAAAUAUCGUUUUAAUGAUGUAUAUAAUAUUGUUCCAUAUUAUAUAUAUGACUGAAGCUAAUAUCAGACCAUGUGGCAAUCACAGUCUUCCAAAUACUGAGCUCCAGAAUUAGAUUUUUGCACACAGGUUCAAACCACGCAGGUCAACUAUACGGUUUUACAAAUGAAGGCCAGCCUAAGUAGAACAGAAGAGAGGAGAGGAAGAACAUUCUGUGACCAGUUGUUCCAAGGAGGAAGGGAGCAAAGGGCACUGGGCUAUACUCCACCUCCUCUUUCAAAAUCACAGGUUAGGGGUAUUUAAGGCAAUGUGUUCUCAUGGACACCACAGGAGUGGGGAAGAACUAUUCUCUGUAGUAACAAAUUUAUUAAGUCUCACAGCAACCCUACAGAGCAAGUCUUACAUAGUUUAACAGGUUAGAGACAGAGACACAGAGAAGUGUGAAGGACAACUUCCAAAGUCCCACAAUAAGCCCAUAGCAGAAGCAGCUUUGCACCCCAGCAAUCUGCCCCAGAGUGCACAUUCUCACCCACCACGCCCUCUUGCUCCUCUAGACUUUUUUGAACUAUGCUUUCUUUGAAAAAAUGAAGAGGUUCAACUAUAAAAUUCUCCCCAAACUCCUUACAACUUUAACAUGCUCUAAUACACUUUUAAGUUUAUUGUAAAAUAUCUGGGUGUGUGAAGUAUUUUACACUCCUUAGGCAAAGGAUAAUAUGGAACAAUAUUAUAUACAACCUAAAAUAUUAUUUUGAUGAAUGGCCAUGGUAGGUAAUUGUAACCCAAUUCUGUGUUCAAUGUGGAAAACUUAACAGUUUAAAAAGGAACAGACAGAUGGAAUUUUGCUAAUGCGUCCAAGAAGGAAAUAUGAUUUCACAUGCAUAUUAUAUGCAAGUUUAUGAAUGUAGUCAUGGUGUCUGGAACCUAGGUAGGAAACUAUGAUGAAAAUCAGUGAAGUAAAAUAUCAAAAUAAAACAUUGCAUGACAACUCUUAAUGGGGAGUAAUGCUGGCGCCUUUAAUAAAACCACUUGGGAAUAUUAACGUGAUGCAUAAGUGGCUGAAGGGUUCUGAAUUUCCCUGGCGAUAUUCAUAUAUCACAAAGUUAAUGUUAGCUGGCAAUAAUUCAAGAAGCGACAUGCUUAGCAUACCACUAGUGAGAUGCCAGAGUUGGGAUCACCAGCAGUAAAUUGUGACAUUUUACUUUGUGUCAGAAAUAAGUAGAUUCUUGUUUAUGAUAUUCUAAGAACUUGUUUGGAGUAAAGAUUUAGGAUUCUAAUCUCAAUUAAGGAUGGAAUGUGUGAUUUAGGUAACAAACUCACCUUUGUGUGUGUUAAAGCAUAAAAGUAUAACCAACAUAUUUCAAAAAAAACUGCUUUUGGUGCUUUCCUGGUAGCAAAGAAGUAAGUCCACAUUGUAAACACACUCUGGGCAAUUUGGAAUAUUUUUUUUUUAAUUUUUUAUUGUUGGUUGUUCAAAACAUUACAAAUUUCUUGACAUAUCAUAUUCCACACUUUGAUUCAAGUGGGUUAUAAACUCCCACCUUCACCCCAUACACAGAUUGCAGAAUCACAUCAGUUACACAUCCAUUGAUUUACAUAUUACCAUACUAGUGUCUGUUGUGCUCCGCUGCCUUUCCCAUCCUCCUGGAAUAGUAUUUUUGAUUGAAGGCUUUUUGAAAAAAAUCAUCUUGAAUUAAUAAGCUUCUAAAAAUGGUUUCAAACCAAUAUAAGUUUUAAUUAUGGAAUUAAUAGUUCAAAUAAAUUCAAUUUCUAUGUAAAAUUAAUUUGGCAGUUGGCAAGAGUUAAAAACCUUUAUUUUAAGACCUCUAUUUAACCUUUAUUGAAAUGCUAGCUGAGCUUUUCUCUCCUUCUCCACCAAAAAAUUUCAAAAGAAUGGUAUUACCUUUGCUAACUAAAGAUAUAUAUUUUAGGUGAGUGUGACUUUAGAGAAUAUUUUGGUAUUUCCUUUAUUCAGUUUUUUUAAAAAGUAUAAAUACUUGUUUUAUAACUGCCAUUCUCUUUUAAAAAUUAAAUUAAAUUAAUUAUUAUUAUUUUUGAGCUCAGGUCUUGGUACGCUGCUCAGGCUAGACUGAGAACUCCUAAGCUCCGUGGUCUUCCCACCUCAUCAUCUUAGAAGCUGGGAGUUGAGGCACUUGCCACUAUGCCCCACUUGCCACCCUCAUUAGUAGGAAUGUUCCCAGAACUCUUCUGCUGAUAGCUCAAGGGUUCAUUCUGAAGUAUUUAUUUUCUUUUGGUUAAAAAGAGAUUUUAUUUGCCUGCUGCAACUGCAUGUAUGCUUGUUCUUCGCAUGCGUGUGUGUGUGUUUUAAAUUGUAAGGUGAAAUUAUUUCCUCAAAUUAUGGUAUGAGUGGGAUACUGUGGUUCUUGAUUUAAGGGUAGACCUCAUAUAAAUAAAUGAAUAAAAUAAAGUUCCAUCAACAACUAAAAAAUUUUUUAAAAAAUGAUUUUUUCCUGAUUUAAACAUUAUACAGUGUGUUCAUAUAUUGAAGCAUCAUGUUAUCUCAUUAAUGUGUAUAAGUUUUAUGUGUUGGUUAAAAAUAAUUUAGUUGAAUAAAAAUAAAAAAGAAGAAAACAGUCACCUCUAGCACAAAAGAAUUAUUUGUUAAUUGUAUAAUUUAAUUAAUAUACUUCAUGAUUUUCUUCUCAUGAUAGGUUUAUUUUAUUGCCUAACAUCUCAGUAUAGAAGAAAUGAAGUAGUAUAGAAUUCGCAUGCUAGACAUUUAAAUGUGUCUGAUAUCAAACUAAAGAGAAAAGUGGUUUGAUAAAAUAUUUAUAUAUAUAUAUAUAUAUAUAUAUAUAUACAUACAUAUAUCUGUCUAUAUCUAUAUCUAUGUAGAGAUAUGCAUGUAUAUCUCUACAUAUAUAUAUCUCACGAGGAUUCUUUAUUUCAGAAUUACAAAGUAUUAUACAGUCACUAAAUAUGUAUAGCACAAAAUAAGCAAAAGCUACAUUAUUUGACUCCUAAUAAAUUGUGUUGAUGAAUUGUUAAAAACAAAUAUCAAGUUGCAAAUGUGAAAAUGUGAAUAAACCACAUGAGUUGAUAUGCAUUCAAAAGCCUCAUAAUAUCCAGGGUGCAAGGGCUAUGGAGAAGACAGGAAAGUGGGUGGCUCUCUGUACAGUGAAGCUUCAUGUGCUGCUUAUUUUGAGAACCGUGACUUGUACCUCUUGUGAAAUAUUCUCCUGUGAUUUCUCCACCUAUAAAUAACUUGCUUUGGGUCUGAUGGCUUCUAAUCAGUGAAUUAUGAUUGUUGACUGGGCCUCGGUUAUCAACAGCAGCAUUUAUGGGGCAUUUAAUCCUCAUAACAACCCAGUGAAGUAAGGAUUAUAAUUACUUUUGUUUCACUCAUGAGCAAACCAACCCUGAGAGUUCAGGCCACUCACUAAAGACUAUCAAGCAAUGCAAAUAUAACAGACAUUUUUUUUUUUUUUUGCUCUUGCUGGGUUCUAGGCACUGUGCUGGUGUGGAGGGCUAAAAACAAUAGGAGAUAGUCUGUGUUCUCAAUUCUUGUAUAGUCUGCAGAAGACAGAUGAAUACCCAGGCAACUAUAAUAUAGAGGCCAAGAACUAACAUAUCAAGUACUGCAUUGGUGUGCUCCAAGAUAGAGAACACAUUCACAGGGCUUGAGGAAACUUCAGCAGACAGUAAGAAAUAGAGCAGAAUGACCGAGCUCUCUUUCUUGUGUGAAGCUUGCUAGUGAAAAUAGGCUGUGUUCACCUUUACUCUUUUAGCUCUACAAGGCUGUAGUUCUUCGUAGCCAUAUUAUAGCUUACCACUAUACCGCAUGCAAAACUACUCCUCUCUUUUGCACAUGAAUGCCAGAAUAGACCUUACAUUUAUUUUCAGGGCUGUGUUUAGGAGGGUGCUUAUCUAUUGUGCCAAAGAAAAUAUAUACUUGAGAAAAACACUGAAUAAUUUUCUAGAGGUGUGGAAUCCAGAGCCGGUUGUUUAUAAGAUCGAGUUACUAUUUAUAAACUCUCAAUUUUAAUAUGUUUUAGCCACUGAAAACUGUUUUUGUCAUUUUGAAAUGUUUUAACAUUUAGAAAUUCAGCCUUACUUGUACUUUCCAGCCACAUAGAUUGAACGACAACAUGAAUUUAUGGUAUCAGCAGAGCCAUCUGUAGAUCUGUCUAGAUUUAAGAAUGAAAUGCAUAACAUACUUGGUCAGUCAGUGAAGUUUUGAGUAGUGGGAAUAGAGUACCAGGACAUUAUCUGCCCAACUUCUCUCUUCUAGGAACUGCCUUCUCUUCCCUCUAAAUUAACAUGGUUGCCAUAGGUACAGCCAUGUUUAAAAUGUGACACUUGAUUGGUUCAGGGUGGGAAGAAGACAGAAGCUGGGCUCAUCUUAUUAUCCCGCUAUUUGGCCUUAUCAUUGAUCAGACUAGGCUAGUCAGAGUCUAUUCUGUCUCCAUCCCAACUGGAUGGACUGAAAUUCAUUUCUGAUAUUAACUAACUGGAAUUAACAGCUUCCACAGGCUUAAGAGCUCAGUCACACACAAAAUUGCUCUCAGUUCUAACAACAAUUGCAAGUGGGUACCUGGGCCACUCAUACUUCUAAUUGAUUGAUAUUUGGAGGUUCCUACAACCCUCUCAAGUUUAUCAAUUUGUUACACAGAACUCAGGAAAGUGCAGUAAAAUUUUUUUUUUAAAUUUACAAUUUAAAUUUUACUGUAUUUAUCGAGGUCUAGAGUAUUCUUGAUUGGAGCUUCCAAUCUCCCCCAAACGUCAGGAUAUAUCACCCUCCCAGCAUGCAUAUCAACUUUUAUAUCAACCAGAAAAUUCUUCUGAGCCCUGGUGUUGGAAGUUUUUGUUGGGAUCAUAUUAUAUACCUAUGAUGGACUAAAUCACUGGCCACCUGACUGUAUUCAAUCUGUAGCCCACAUCCCCUCCUUGGAGAUUCAAUGGCUGAAAAUUCCAAUCCCUCUAGUUACAUACUUUGUCUUUCUAGUGAUCAUCUUCCAUUCAGCAGCUAACCAGGGACCUACCAUGUUAGCAUAACAAAGAUAGUCUUAUCAUCAAGGAAAUUCUGAGGGUUUUGAAGCUCUGUACUGGGAACUGGGGACAAAGUUUAGAUGCAACAUUAUAUAACAUUAUAACAGAGAACAUCUUUAGAAAUUCGAAUAUUGAAAUUAUGAGAAUUCUUUUUAGACUCCUGUACUAUGAGAUAUGAGACAUAGGGCUGUUGGCUGCCAUUUUCCACUAGAAAAACUGAAGCCAAUAUAGAGUGUGUGUGUGUGAGGGGGGGUGGGGGAUGGAUGCAAAGAAGAGAUGAAUGUGGGAGAGUAAGUCCUUAGAGAUUUGAGUCCCUUUGUCAAUUUUUCCAUGUAUAUGGUGUGUUUGUUCCACAUUUUUCUUACUAAAUAUCCUUUCCUUCUCUGAUUUCAUCUAAUUUCAGGUGAUUUCCACAAACUCCUAUAGAACAUUCUAUCUGGUAGAGUGAGCAGAUAACAUUUAUAAGGUAGUGGAAGUGUUAUGUACACUGAACACAUGAAGCUCCACAUAAGAACAUGUAAGUCCAGGUAGAACUUAUAUCUACAUAUUCCACAGAAGAUAGAAGGUCAUUGCUGCUUUGUACAAAUGCUGAUCUUGUUAACUCUCUAGACCAAGUUGGUAUGAACAAUGACAGAGUGUUCGUACAGUCACAACAUGAGAAUCCUAAUUUUGGAAAAAUAUUUAAUCUCUUGGAAAUAUGAACAAACACAUUGCUUAACUCUAGAUUUUGCUCAUCCUCUCAAAGCAACUGUGACUAUAUGAUCAAGGAGUGUGUGUGCCCCACCUUUGGUUAUUGCCUAUGGUGGUCUCUCUGCUUGAAAUGCUCUCUCCUGAGAUAUCUGCAUGGCUUGUUUCACACACCACCUGAGGCUUUUGCUGCAGUACAGUCUUAGUAGUUCAUCCCUGACUACUCUGUCUACAUGGCUCCCUUUCCUCUUCACCCUGCUUUUUCAUUUUACUUUAAACCACAGCAUCAGAUAUAUUGACCUUUUAUUUAUUCACUUGCUUGUCACCUGUCUGCCACUUUAGAAGGAAAAAUCUAUGAAAGAGGGACAUGGAUUGUUUUAUAUAUCGUUUUGUCUUAGCAUGUAGAAGAGUAGAGUACCAGGUACAUUGUAGACAUUAACAAAAAUUUCUUGACUAAAAAGAGAAACAAAGAAUUGCUUCUGUUGCUUAGUAACUUUUGAAUAUGCUUCCUACAUUUGGGGGGCAACUUUCUGCCUUGGGAUUCUUGCCUCCUCAAAAAGGCAACUGAUAUUUUAUUUCCAAUCCUUCUUUACAACCAGGGCACCAAUCAGACGCACUCACAAAUACUCUUGUUCAGAAGGCAACAAUCUCUGGAAGUAUGUACCAGGAGGAACAUGUAUGUGUGUGUGUGUGUGUGUGUGUGUGUGUGUGUGUUUAAAGGCCAUGGUAGUAGAUUUCCCAGUGGCAAUGCCUAGUUCCAGUGGAGAGUCUGUGCUUUGUUUGGUUGGCAGUGGAUUUUCUGUGGAACAGUUCUACAUGGGUUGGAGGCUUGUGUCUGGCUUCAUGGCCUUUAGGUUUUACUUUUUACCUUUCUCAGAAAGUUUGUGAGCCACUUUUAAAAAAUCAAUUUCUUUUCUAUUUAAACUAGCUAGAGUGGGUUCUGUGGUCUGCAACUGAGAAACCUAAAUGAUUCACAGCUGGUUUGAAUCUGGAUGAUUUAUUCAUAAGUCUAUAGCUUAAAAAAGCAAUUUAGCCACUUAUAGAACACUCUCUUUUAGAGGACCUCAGUGUUCAUCUAGUCAAGUAAUUAAAAUCUUUUUUUUUCCCAGGGAGUUUUUUCUUCUAAUAACAUUUGAUAAGAAGGUGGGUAUCCAGUAUGUAAAGCCAGUUGAAGUUGCUCUGGUGGAAAGAGGGUAGGUAUCAGAGCCCUCACACUCAUUUCCCUUAUAGUAUCUAAGAUUCUUCCUUGGAUUUCUUAAAAACACUCCUGAAUAUUAGUACCAAAAAUUGAACUUCCUAAUUUCCCAGAAGGGGAAAUGCAUACAUAGAAAAGUAUAACUAGAACCCAGCUAUUUCUAUACAGUUCAGAGUUUUUGUGCUAUGCUAUACUAUAACCUCAAAAUUAAAAAAAUAGUAUUCUUUUAAAGUGUUUUUUUUUUUCCUGCACAUGUUAUUUGAGUAGAAAAAGCAAGAUCCUAUUCAAAUUUUGUUUCUAAGAUUGAAAAGUUUUAACAGACUCAAUUCAAAACACUUUCCUAGUAUAUUUUAGAGAAUUUAAAAGAUAAUUUAAAAAAUGGAUACAAUCCUUUUCAUUAGGAUAAAACCCUGUUUAAAGAUUUCUCCCUGGUAUAUGAUAAUCUAAGUGCCAUACAUUAUAGUUUUAAAACUCAAAUGCAUUGAAAAAAUAUGUCAAGUUUAACAAUGAAAUACUGCCUCACACAUCUCUUAUAAUGGUCACAGUCUAGAUACUGACAACAUCAAAUGCUGGCAAGGAUGUGGAGCAACAGGAACUCUCAUUCAUUGUUGGAAGGAAUGCAAAAUGCUACCUACAGUUACUUUGGAGGACUGAUUGGCAAUUUUUUUCUUAACAAAACUAAACAUAUGUUUACCAUAUAAUCCAGUAAAUCUUCUGAUAUUUAUUCAAAUGAACUAAAAAUGUGUGUUCACACAGAAACUCGCCCAUGCAUGCUUAUGGUAGUUUUAUUCAUAACUGCCAAAGCUUAGAAGCAACCAGGAUGUCCUUCAGCAGGUGAAUGGGUAAAUAAACUGUUGCACAUCCAGACAAUAAAUUAUUUUAUGCUAAGAAGAAAAAAAAUAUUAAGUCAUGAAAAAACAUAGAGGAACCUUAAAUGCAUAUUACUAAGUGAAGGAAACCAAUCUGAAAAUGCUACACACUGUGUGAUCCUAACUAUAUGACUUUCUGGAAAAGAAAAAAAAACAAAGAGCAUAAAAUCAGACAUUUCCAGGGGUUGGAGACAGGAGGGAUGAAAUGUGGUACACAGAGAAUUUUUUUUUUAAACAGACUUCAGCUCAUGUAUUUUGACAAUUUUUAUGCUCACCAAAUACUUCAUCAAGCAUCUCAAGUAAUAAUCAAUAACAACUGUUAGUAGAAAAUGACAUAUAAACUUGUUCCCUAGUUCUCUUAUGAGUAUUAUGGGUGUCUCUCUGUAGAUCAGCAACAGUGAUCAGGUAUCCUUUGAAGAACACCAAAGCAACAAUUAGUGCAGUGAAGGGACAUAUUAUGAUUUCACACAGUGCACACUUCAUUACCUGGAUCACAAGGGGAAGGCUAGGCAGUCAGCGAACUACUUCAGAUUACAAUUCCAAUAUACUUAUUUAUUUAUUUAUUUUUAUUCUUAUUUAUUUAUUUAUUUUAAACAUUGGUACACAGAGAAUUUUUAGGGUAGCAUAAAUAUUCUAUAUAACACCAUUAUUGUGGAUACAUAUCAGUAUACUUUUGUCAAAAUUCAUAGAAUGUACAGCACCAAAGUGAAACCUAAUGUAAACUAUGGACUUGGAGUGAUUGAAGGGUCCAUGUAGGUUCAUUAGUGGUAACAAAUGCAGUUCUCUGGAGGUAGGGAUGUUGAUAAUAGAGGAGGCUAAGCAUGUGUGGGAACAGGGAAUCUUUAUUGACCUAUCAAUUUUUCUCUAAACCUAAAACUACUCCAAUAAGUCUUUAACAAUAAUAACCACAAAACCCCGUUAAAAAUAUUAAUAGAUGUUAAGUGCAUCUAGAUACACUUAUCCUUUUGAAAGUCUAAUAUGGACAAAUAAGUCAAACAGACACGUUUUCCUUUCUUGCUUCUGUGUGUGUGUGUGUGUGUGCGUGUGUGUGCGUGCACAUGUGUUUUCUAUGGCAAUGCAGACACAGUAAAACUCUAGAAUUUGUGAAGUGAGUUUUUUCAUUUAUAAGGCCAAUUUCUAUUGCAUCUUAAAUAGAGAAUCGACUUGUGUUCGUCCUAAAUUUUUUGAACCUGAAAGAACAAAACAUUGCAAAAGAAAUAUGAUUAGCUCCCAAGCUAUCUCAACAACAAGAUAUUUGUAAUUUUUGUUACUGCAAUUAACUGUCUCAGGGUAUAAUCCAUGUAGAUUCAUGUAGAUGUAUAGAGAAACCAAAUAGAUGAGAUGUGUGGAGAAACCAAAUAUCUUAACAGCUCAUUAUUGGCAACAUCUUUGAUUUUCUCUUUGCAAAUGAUAAUAAUUUUUGCUUGGUGAUUUGGAAGGCUCUUUUCUUCUCUUGAUUUUUAUUUAUGACUCAGCUCUGCAAAGACUAUAAUUUCCCAUUAAAUUGUUGUCCACACUUGUACCACAAACAACUCCUCUCUUAUAAUUUUUUCUAUUACUUUUAUAAGCAUGUAAGCUUUUAAAGCUGUGCCUUACUUGAAAUUCUUUACUUUUUAACUAUUUUUCAAUCCUGAUAAGUGAGUAAAAGGAUUUGUCUUUAAAUGAAUUUAUUUUUUUCUUGGUUCCAAAAAGGAAAUGGGCAGCUCAUCAGAGAUCCAGGACAAUUUCAUGAUUGAUACAUCAUUAACUUUCUUAUUAAUGAUAAUAAAAUCAUAUAAGUGACAAAAUAGGCUCAAUAUGUGACAUUCAAAUGGCUUCUGGUGCUCACAGUUCAGGAUAUCUCUCAUGGUACCAUGACCCUCCACCCCUGCCCUCCUGUCCAUCCUACCCUCUCUAUAGAAAUUGUGUUGCUGCUGUUGGCAACCCCAUGGUGAUAGCCACUGGAUAUAUGGAGCUCUCAAGGAGCCAAAUUUUUCCAAAUAUAUAUCUUUCUUUUUUUUCCAAAUAAUUUUUCUUCAGAGAAUAUUCAGAAGAGCCAAGUCUACUUAAUUAUCUUAUUCACUUUGUUAAGCAGUUGCAUUAGCUGUUAAGUUAUAUUACAAUGCAUUUAAAAGUAGUCUUUUUUUGGCUUUAAUUAGUGCGUGACAGUUAUACAUAAUAGUUGAGUUCAUUUUGACAAAAUCUUACAUACAUGGAAUUUAAUUCACUCCAUUUUAGUCCUCAGUGCCUCCUCUUUCCUUCCCCUCCUGCCUUCCACUAUUCUCUUUCCCCUACUGGUCUUCCUUUCACUCAUUUAUUUGUUUUUAAUUGGUGCUGUAUAUAGAUACAUAAAGGUGGAAUUUAUGGUGAUAUGUUUAUAGGUGCAUAUAGAGUCAUUUUUCUCAAAUUUGUUCCUCAUUUCCUUCCCUUUCUUGUCUCUCCUUCCUCCCUCAUGUUAUCCUACUCCGCUGAUCUUCCCAGUAUCUUUAGGAUACUCUACCCCUGCCUGUGUUCCUUUGCUCUAGCUUCCACAUUGGAGGGAAACAUUCAACUCUUGAUUUUCUGAGUCUUAGCCAAAGCUUUGAUGUGUUCCAUAGCUCUCAAGCAGAACUCAGAAUUCUCCUGUCCUCUGAAGACCAUGGUUGUUUUAGAGACCUGUCAGGGAAACUGACAAGGUGAAGCUUUUCCUAGGAGGCUUCAUGGCCCCACUUAUAAAGACUAGUAUUUCAUAGAUUAAUAAUUUUGACAUCUAAGGCCUAAUACCAAAGGCUACUACUGUAUUAAAAUAGUUGUUAUGUCAUAUAUAUAAUCAAUAAAUAUAAAGUACUACUCUGGACCAUAAUUGACCUAUUUUUUGGUUUACUCAAUUAUGAAGUGGUGGCUACUCUAUAAUUUUUUAUAUUUAUCUUAUUUUUAAAAAAAUUUUUUCAGUUAGAGAUGGAUACACAAUAUCUUUAUUUGUAUGUGGUGCUGAGGAUCGAACCCUGUGCCCCACACAUGCCAGGCAAGUGCGCUACUGCUGAGCUACAGCCCCAGCUCAUAUAAUUUUUUAUACUUAUAAAUUAAAAAAUAAUUAAAUGCAUUUCUGCAUUCUUUCAAUGUAUUAUUACUGAUUCCUUAAUCUGCUGGGUAUCACUAUUUAAGUUACCUCACAAUGAAAUUCAAACUUCUAUCCUUCCUUAAGUGAAUUUAAUACUGAUCUAUAUAAGGAACUGUUAUCCGGUCAUGAACAUUGAAUGUGUUUUAAAAGUGCAACCCAGCCCAUAUCUUGGCUCAAACAUUUUUCAAGGUUAAACAGGUUGUUUGACCUUUCUGCAUUCACCUGUACAAUGUUUUAAGAAGCAGUUGCCUUGGAAAGGGCUAGAGGGGUCUCUGACCUGGUCUUGCUGUUUGGAGAAUCCUUUAUAUCAUACAAACAGGAUCCUCCAUUCAGAUCAAGGGAAAUGCUUCUCCACAUUUCUCCCCCAUACCCAUUGCCAUGGAAGUUUGGAGAUCAUGCCAUUACCAGUGUCAGAGACAGUACUUUGGAGCUGUGGGACAAAAAUGUUUAGGGGAGAAAACAUAAAUUAGCCCACCAAAUUCUUUGUUUGGUAGCAGGGAUACAAUAGGUUCUUAAAUAUUGAAAUGUUAUUUACCAGUAGUGCUAUGUGUCUACAUUCUUGGUUUUUCUCAUAGUUAUGAGCCAAAUUUUAUCUCCCCAAAUUCAUAUGUUGAAGCAUUAUCUCUCAUUGUGACUGUAUUUGGAGAUAAUGCUUAUAAGAAAGUCAUUAAGGUUAAAUGAGGUCAUAAUGGUGAGACCCUAAUCUGAUAGGAUUAUCCUUAUAAAAAGACACUGGACGACACAUUCUUACAUUCUCUCUCUCUCCACUCAGAUGAAAAGCCAUGUGAGGACAUAUUAUGAAGGUGGCCAUCUGCAAGGCAGGAAGAGAACCCUCACAAGACGCCAAACCCUUUGGAUCUUCAUCUAGAAGCUCUGUAGCCUUUGGUAUUUCAUUACAGAAGCCUGAGCUGACUUGUAUUCUGGCUCUGGAGUUGUAAUUUAAUGAGAUGUGCCCAAAGUUGGUGUCGAAUAGCAUUUUCAUUGUUAAAUAAUUCAUGUUAUUUUAAAAUUUACAUAUAUGUAGGUAUAGAUGAAACAUAUCAAACAUAGCAUUAAUCCUUUACAUUGGCAGCUAGAUGGAAAUCAAAUACUUGAUUGUGAAGGGUUUCAUUUUUAUAAAAAUGUUUAGUGAGAUGUAUUCUAUUUUCAAAAUUUAAAUUUAAAUUUCAGUUUGUACAUUUUCAUAUAAAAUUUAAAAUUGAUUAUUUUAUUUGGUUUUAAAAUUUUAAUAUAUUUUAGAAUAUUUUAGAGGUAAAAACAACAAACAUGAAAAGUAAUUUUAAAUUGUAAGUUGAACAUUCUUUUUCUAAAAUUCUUCAUAUCAGAAAUGCUUCAGAUUUGGGAUUUUUUUCAGAUUUUGGAAAUUUGCAUUUGCAUAAUAAGAUAUCUUGGGAAUGAAAUCCAACUUUAAGUGAGAAAUUUAUGUUUCAUAUACACUUUAUAUACAUGUCUGCAGGUAAUUUUAUACAGUAUAUUUAGUGUGCCUGCAUGAUCACAUGAUAUAUAACGUCAAUUGUGGAAUUUUCCACUUAGGUACCAUGUUGGCACUCAAGACAUUUCAGAUUUUGGGGCAUUUUGGGUUUCAGAUUUUCAGAUUGUGAUGCUUAAUUUAUAUUUACACUUAGAAUUUUUUUUUACCCUUGGAAACCAAUAUUUUAUUUCUUAAUUCUUUGGAACAGGACUCAGCAAACUUUUCUAUUAGUCAAUCCUGUCUGCCCUUUGUUUAUUUAAAGUUUUAUCAGGAUAUAUGACUGCCCAUAUUUUUAUGAAUUAUCUCUGAGUGCCUUUAUGUAACAACAUCAGAGGUGAUAAUUGCCCCAGACACUGGUUUGCCCUCAAAGCUAAAAAUAGUUACUGGCCUUUUAUAGAUCAAAUUCACUGAGCCUGCUUUAGAUCAUUAAGAAUGUGUUUAAUUUGAGCUCAGUGCAGCGGCAUACACCUGUAAUCCCAGCAACUUGGAAGGCUGAGACAGAAGGAUUGCAAGUUUGCAACUUAGAGAGACCCUAUCUCAAAAUAAAAAAGAAUUGGGGAGGUAGCUCAGUGGUUGAGCACCUCUGAGUUCAAUUCCUAGUACAAAAUAAAUUAAAAAAUAAUAAAUAAAUUUUAAAAAGGUAUUCAAUUUAAAAUCAUUAUAAAAAUAUAAAUAUGGAAGUGGAACUUAAAAAAUAAGUAAAAGCUAAGAAGCAAAAAGAAAUGUUCAAAUUAGUGCUUCAAAUUUAAAUAACUAGAAGCUGGGCAACUGAACAGACUUUUAGAGAACAACCCAUAUAAAACUUGCAAGCAGGACUUUACAGAUUGUUUUUUUUAAAAGAUUUGAUGAAAAGGAGCUAGGAAAUUAUUCUGAUCAAAGUCACAAGUAGAACAGAUCAGACAAAAUCCUCAAUGUCAAAUUUUUCAUCAAAUGAAGCAGUAACCACUGUUUAGAACAAUGAAAAUGAAAGGGGGAAAUCAUUCAUAUCAAAUUCAUAAUUCAGAGACAGCAAAUAUAAUUUUGGCCUGCUCAUUAGAAGUUGAAGAAAACUACAUUCAUAAAAUCUGAAAAUUGGACCAGAAAGCCAAAACUUCUGGAACUUUCUUCUGUUUAUUGGAUAAUGUUUCUGGAAAAUGGCUGUCAUAUCCUGACAUGAGCGAGACUAUUUCUAGCAAAACAUAAUUCCAUUCAAAUCAACAAUUACAAUUUUCCAUUGGCUAAACAUGGCAGAAAAUUUAUAUUUUAUUUUAAACUUCAAUUCUUUUAAAUUGUGAAACAAGCUAUUCCAUUCUAAGUUCAAAGACAGAGUUUCUUGUUACUGUUGUUACAUAUUUCUCAACCAAUGUUCGUGAUUAGUUUUGGCAAAUGAAGAUAUUUUUAACUGGAAACACAUUCUUGAUUAAAAGAACAAAAAAAUGUCAUGUGCACAAAAAAUUAGCGAAUACUAGGACUGAGAAAAAAAGACCGAGUGACAAAAAAAUUGAUGUUUUUCAAACAAGUAAAUACAGAACAAAAUAUAAAACAUUGUUAUAUAUAACAAAAUAUAAAAUAUUGUUUUAUAUAUAGAACAUUGAAAGAUGAUAUUUUGUGUUUCAUAUUUAGCAAAGCACAGUGAGGAUUAUUGGGGCACUAAUAUUUAUAGAAAAAUGAAAAACUUGUAGAUACAGCAAAAACAAUUUUCAAAUUUUUAAUAGAAUGGUUGAACAUGAUUGAAAAAUAGUGAAAAAUAUGACUUCUCUCUUGGAAAAUUCAAAUUUAAUCAUUACUUAUUCAAUAAUAAAAUGGGAGCACAAUUAAAAAAAUAUUCAGUUCAAUGAUUAGAAAAGUCAUAUUGAGAAGUACUCAAAUCAAAUUGUGGUUUUCAAUAGAAAAUGAAUUGUGCAUUUAAUUUUGAGUGUGUGUUAUUCAUAUUGCUUGCUACCAAUAAAGUCCUUAACAGAGUAUAAUGACCAUCCUUAAAAAAAGAAAUUUUGGCUACUUUAUUUUUAAAAAGAUUCAAAUAAUUAAAAAAAAUAAACUUAAGAUGAUUUUUGUAAGUUGCAAGAAAUUGCAUGUGAAAUAUGUAACAAAUGUGACUUUCAUUAAAAUAAAAGGAAAUUAAGUAUUAAAAAAUUUUUGACUAUGCAGGAAAAAGAUUCAUGCACAAAUAUUUCCAAAAGUUAAUUAAGAAUGACUAUUAUCUAGCCAUUGGAAAGCAAGUUACGGUUCAAAUGAAGAGAGAUGAGAACAAAUUGAGCAAGAUAUUCUUGUUUUUGGUUUUCUUUGUAAUAUUAAAAAUUGUAGAAAAAGGGAAUCUAAGAGAUACCAUAUGGCUGGCUGCAGAUAUUGCUUAAGAUACUUUGAAAAUCCAUAAAAGUGAUAGAGUUAUAAUUAAACUGUUCCAUAAUACUUUGGUGAUAAUACUUAUCACCAGCAUUCCCAAUAUAAUAUUUGAAUGUAGUUUCUUAAUUUCAUAUUUUGGAAUCUAAAUAUUGCUUCAAAGUGUUAUGGACAGUUUAAAAUGUUACUGACAGUUGUUAUUGCUGCACAGAGCAAAGUUUUUCCAAAUUAAAAUUAACCAAAAUCUAUUUAAAAACUUGAAGAAAUCAAUAUUCAAAUUUUUGAAUUUAAAAUACUCAAAUAUUUGAAAAUAUUCAAAGAAUAUCUGAUUUGUCUGCCACUGGAAUACAACUCUAUGGAAAUCUGGAUUGUAGCAGCAUAAGUAGUCAGUGCACGCAAAUUUUAUGAGAUAAACAUACAUUUUUAAAUCAAUUACAUUAUUUCUGUGUUUUAGUACUCAUACAUUGCUGGACCAUCAACAGAGCACCCAGAUAUGUACAAAAAAGUUGAAGUUCAGUUUUCUUUGAUAUUUUGUCAACCUUCAAUCAUACACUAACCAUAGCUUUCCACAUAUUUACAAACAUUGAAAUUAGAAAGAUGCAUUAGUUAAGGUAGGAGAAUAGAGUACAUUAAAUAUUUCAGUCUGUUGGCUAGCGUAAAAUGCCACCAUUUAGACACAGGUGCUUCUUUUUGUAACCUUGUUCCAGACUAUCUUGUAUGAGGGGUUGGCCUCCCUUCUUUGUGGGUUAUCUUGAGGAACAUGGGAUGAGAUAAAAUGACAAUAGGUGAAGCCAUGUGCCCAUGUCUUCUGUUUAGCUUUUUACUUUCCUAAUGCUGCAUUUCAAAUAGGUCUCUGGUUGCUGAUUCUAGGAAGUGGGGAUAUUGGUCUGCACUCCAAAUUUUUAGUAUCUUCUUCCUAAUUUGUUGCUGUCAAAAUAUUUUGCUUUAAAAUGGACCCAUGUGCAUGGGCUUACCCUGUUGAAAAUCCAAAAGAAAUUUGGGUUUGGCUUUUUCCCUUCUGCUUCCAGGGAGGAGAAAUGUUUUACCUUCUAGGGUGGAUCAGCCAUCCAGACCUAUCAAUUGAACGAUUGAUUGUAACAAAGGCUAGGCUAUUAUAUUUAAGCAGUUAUUACAUAUUUCAUAUGUCAAAGUUGUAAAAAAAUAACAAAGGCCUAUUAGCUUGAGUGUGGGAAACCAAAUCAUUUUUUUUUUUUAAUAUGGGAUAGAUUGUGUGAACUUGGACUUUUCAGUACAUGCAGUAAGCGGUAUUCCAUGGGAACUUUCCCAGCAUGUAUCCAGUAUUAUAGACAAAAAGUUAAAAUACUGCUAACACUCUCCCUGGUAUUCAUUAGCAUAGCAAAGAAGGCAGGAACUAACCACAUUUUAUAUAAAAGGACUUUAGAAAUCUGUGUCUGCUUGCAUUAGCAUGAUUCAAUCAGUGGGUGCCAACUCUAAGAGUAGAAAUGAUCUUUAUUUAUGGGCCUAUCACCAAAAUGUGUUCUUCAUUAAUUCAUAUUUUUCUCAGCCUCACAUUACUUCUUGAACCCAUCCAGGUGGUUUUUAAAUGCUCAGGGUAAUUUAAAACUGAGCAAAUUCAUGCUCACCCUCUUUUUCAGUGCUUAAGAAAAACUGAAUGAAAAUAUCCUUACCAUUCAUUUAAUAUUUUGCCAAUUUCUUUACCUUUAAUUAACCUGAAGAAUACAACAAAUGUGAGCUUGCUGAGCCUUUUGAGUUAAAAUCCACACCGAGAAGGAAAUAAACCUUGAAUGUCUUGCCAAAAGGUAUUUAGAAAUAUAUUUUGCACAAGAUUAAAGUUGAAAGUCCAAAGUAACUGUAUUUAUUCCAAUAAUACCAUUCAGUGAAACUUUGCUAUGUAGAACACUUCCUUAUAUAUGAAAUUCGUUAAAAUAGAAAAGACCUCAUCUAAAGGCUCAUAAAGUGAGGUUUCUUCCAUAUAAUAUUUUCCUGUAUGUAACGUUCAAAAGUGUAGUGCCCUGGAAAACAUUACAAAGGACUUUCCCUGCAGACCUAUGCUUGUUGUUAAAUUUAUUUUGGGUUGUUUUUCUGGUUGGCAUUUCAUAGUUCUUCACAGACUCAGGAUUCAGUCAGCAUAUAUGGAAUAGAAAAAAAAAAGCCUUAUUGUUUGCCUAUUAUUGUACUAUCAGUCAGAAGUACAGGAGAAAGUCUACUACUUUUCUGGGUGAAGGUCUUUGAGUCCAAAAUUUGCUCUGAUAAAACUUCAGUCAUGCCUUUCUAUCCCUGCCACCCAGUGAAAUGUAUUAAAUAUGCUGUUCUCUGAACUGAUGGUACCCUGGGAAAGAAGUUUCAUGAGAAACUCUUGCCUAUAAAUUAAGGUGACCGUCUCCAAUCUGGACAGAUAUGGUAUCUACCCAUCAUAGUUCUAUAGAGCAUUUAAUAGGUAAAGCCUCCAUUUAAACAAAGAUAAUUGAGUUGUGUUGCUAUAGAAAAAUUUAUCAAUAUCCACGAGGCUAGUGAAUGAUUUUGUUAGACAAUAAAAACAUUUUUCAACAUUGCCACAGGGCUCUCUAGUUCCCAGUAACUGAUGUCAAGUGUAUAGAUAAGUAUGUACAAUAAAGCUUGUGCAGAGAGAUAAUCUACCUUCUAUUAUUGUAUCAUUGUGUGCGUUUCAAAGCAAAUGUCCCUGAUCCCCAGCACUGCAAAUGUAAAUAACAUUUACCUGAUUUAUUCAUUUAUUUUAUCUCAAAAGUGUCUUCUCAUUCAUGAAUGGAUUCAUUUAUUCAAAGCUGCUUUUUGAGUGCUUACUAUUUGCAGGUGAUGGUAAACACUAGGCAUAAGAGCGACACUGUCUCCAUCCUGCACCUCCUCUGUUGCCCACCCUCAUCACCAUCCAUGGUAAGCCCU
rnacentral:lncRNA from 1 species